rnacentral:lncRNA from 1 species
AAAAAAAAAAAACUAAACUAAAAAAUGAUGGAUUGAAAAUUUUUACGUUCAGGAUAAACCUCAACAACCAUUUCUACAAUUUCACCCCAGACUUAAAAUAUUUUUAAAUUAUAAUUUUUUUAUUUUUUAAAAAAACAUAAAAUCUUAAAAUAUUAUUAAAAUUUAUAAAUAAAAUUAAAUAUAAUUCAAAAAGUUAAAAAAUAAUAAAAAUUAUUAAAAAUCACGUAAAAGUUUAAGUCUAGAAAUGAAUUUUAACAUGUCCAAAUUUAUUAAGAUAAAUUUUUUAAAUAAUAUAAAAUUUUAAAAAUAUUAUAAUUUUUUUAAAUGUUAUAUGUGUAUCAAUAUUUUAAUUCUACUAGUCCUUUUUUGGCUAGAUAAAAAUUUAAAAAAAAAUAGAAAACAAAUAUAUAAUUUUUUUUAAAAAAAUAUUAAUUCUAAUACUACCUUAUGAGUUCAAUUGCUAUGUCGAGAUGUUUAAACGAAGCAUAUUGCUCUCUUGGCAAGGCUAAAAGGCUACACGUCGUCGUGUUUUUGUAGUUAUUGAAUGAUCUGGCAAGACUUUCUAAGGUGAGGGUAUAACACUUAUCAAUAGAAAUUUAAUUAUUAUACAUAAUUCACAAGUCGGUUCUACAUAUAUAUUAAUGGUGAUGUUUUAUGUAUUGAAGAGGAAUUAAAAAAAAUGGUUCUCAACAAAAUUUUUUUAUAUUUUAGACUAAAUCAGUUUAAUGAUGAUAUUUUUUGUCUAAGUUCGAAAGUCUGUUCGAAAAUUGGAUGUGUUAGACAAAAAUAUUAGGUUCGAAAAAUAAGUUUAAAUAACAAAAUUAUGUCUAUUUAAAAUAUAAAUUGAGCUUGGACUCCAACGUUUUAUACUCAAGUUCUACUCAAUUUCAAUUACUUUCAAGUUUAUAAUAUGUUGUUUAUAUAUUUGUAAUUUAUAUCAUAGGAAAAAAAAUAAAUAUAAUCAACAAUAAUGUAUAUAUUAAAAUGUAUUAAGUUGUUUAUGUUUAUAAAUUUAAUAAAGAAUGUAUAUAAUGUUAAUAAAUUAUAUAUAUUUAUUAAAUAUUAAGUAAAAAUAAUUAUAUUUUAAAAUUAAAAAAUAAAUCGGGUAAGACUAAAAAAGCUUUGUUGGCCAUUUAUAAAUAUGGAUGGACUUGGACAAAUUUUGAGGUUUAUAUUUUAAGUCGAGUCAGGCUUGAGCAACUGUGCAUAGUAUUGAGUCCAAUUGUUAUCGAAAGGCAAAUUUAAGCAGUGCUAAGACAAGAUUCAAAUGCAUUUGUAACGCCCCGAAUUUUGGGGCUAGAAGUUUUGGAUUUUGUGAUUAGGGUCAGUGAGUGGGUGGUCCUAUUGAGUUUAGUUGUGCGUUUAAGUGACAGAAUAGGCUUGCUAGUCUAGUGGUUUUGUGUGUGUUAGUUUGUCUCUGGGUUCGAGUCUGCGUUUGAAGUAACAUUUUGUUUUGGGUUUUGUUUUAAGUUAAAAUUUUAUUCUUUUUAACUAUUUAUUUUUAACUCUAUUUUUACUUUUUAUUUUUAUUAUUAUUCUACUUUGUUUAAUUUUCAGGGGAACGUUCUUUCUUGUUUUUCUUUUUGGGGGGUUUUUGUUUUUGAUUUGAUUUUCUUCUUUAAUUCCUUGUUGAAAACGGGUUUGCUUGUAGAUUUCGAAGAAUCUAGCUCCUCAGUCGUCGAAUCAGGUGUGGGAUUAGAACCUUGACUACCUUUAUUUUUGUGAAUUAUUGUUUCAAAAAUUCUUAUUUGUGUUCUUAACUGUCGAUUUUGAGGUGUCAGUUGCUAAAAAAGGUUGGGGAAUACGACAUAUCCUGAUACCGUUCUGUCAUUGCGAAGGUUGAGACUGUUGCGAUGGCUAAAAUAACAUUUUUUUGGCUCGUUCCGAGGUGGUUCAUGGCCACUUGGGCUUUCACACGGGCGUGUGCUAGUUCACACGAUUGUGUGCUUUUGGGAAUUAGGGUUUUCGGGCCAAUUUUGGUGCCACAUAGCCAUGUGGCUGACUUGGGGAUUUUAUUAUUUCUCGUACGGCCGUGUCCCUCAAGCACACUAGCGUGUGAGAUUGGGGAUUAGGGUUUGAGUGAUUUGGUGCCACACGAUCGUGUGGCUAAUUUGGAAAUUUAGGGAUUCCAUACGGACUUGUGUUUUGGGACACACGGGCGUGUGAGACCCUCACAUGGUCGUAUCAGCCCUGUCCUCAAAUUAAGUGUAAAUAGAUAGAGAGUUUCAUGGCCUACUCCCACGGCCAUGUAUUUGGUCCACACGAGUGUGUGCUUCAGUCACACGGCCGUGUGCCUCUCUUCACACAAGCAUGUGCCCCUUUUUACACGGGCUUGUGACCUUCCACACGGCCUAGGCAUGGCCACAUGGCUAGAGUACACGGGCUUGUGGCUCUAAGUCAUCUAUUUUGAUUCUAUGUGUGUUUGAUUCGAGCAUUUGCUUGUGUGUUUUGCCUUGGCUGAUCUUUAGUCAGGGUGGCUAAGAAUUCUGAUCUAGGCUUCGGCCUGAGUAUAUCUGUGGCUGUCAUGUGAGAUGUUUGAAUAUGAAUCUGUUCUAUUUGGUGUGUGUGCAUAGCCAUUCUGUCUAACUGUCUGAUAUUGUGUCUCUGUUUUGUGAGAUUCUAUUCAUACAUACACAUGCAUAAAAUAUUUUGGGAUGGGUUUUGAAGAGAAGGAAGCCUGAUCUGAUCUGGCAGUUCAAACUACAACUUGUCUGUACUGCAAAUUAUUGCAUUGCGCUGUACAACAUAUACGCCAACUCUGUUGCUUAUUGAUAUCUGAAUGGCUUGGUCCACAUAUGUGGUGUGUAGGGUUGGAUGGGCCCUCGAGUUCUUAAGUGGUGUAUUGGUUGGAUGAGCUUAAACAGCUCUUAUAAGGUGUGAUCGGGGGACGGAGAGGUGUGUUGGUUGGAUGGGUGGGUUUUAUCAUCUGAUUGCUUUCACACGCAUUGAUCUGAGUGUUCUGAGUGUAUGACUAUCUAACUAUUUUCUAUUUGACUGAAUUCACUUGUGACCAAGUGUCUGUGUGUGAAUUGGGGUGCUUAAGUGUUAUGUUCUAUUGGGACGUGAGUUCCAAGUCUCUUUUUGACUCAGUUUAUUUCUGCAAAUCUGAUGUGAUAUUUUUUUGAACUCCAUAGUUUGUUUUUAGUUUUGAUUCGAACUCACACUGAGCUUGAGUAGCUCACCCCCUCUUAAUGUUUCCCUUUGAGGUACACUUUUGGAUUCUGACGCUGAACUCGAUAUGGGGAGGUCUUAGACAGUCUCAAUAGAAAUAAAUGAUUAUGAGUUUAUAUUUUCAGUUUAUAUUUGGUUAAAGGAUUUUUGAACCGUAAGAUUUUUUAAAGUUGUGGUACAUGUUUUGUUUAAAAUUUUAAUCAUUUAUUUAGUUCCGUUUACAUAUAUUAAUUUAACAGUAAUUCUAUCGUUUGGGUUUUAAAUGAUUAAAUGUUUCAGUUUGACUUGAGUACUUAUUUUGAAAAUUUUAACUAUUGUUACUUCAGUGACCAAUGUGACAUUCAGGAUUCGGUCUAAACUUCUAGGCCGGAUUUUGGGUGUUACAUUUAGUGGUAUCAAAGUCAAGUUUGCAAAAACUCGGCCUGUGUUUUUACGUAUCCAUGUACGCACGUGGUUGUUUUAAAAAGGAAUUUUUGAGAAAAUUUUACCACAGUAAGCUGCAAAGAUUUGUGCUUUGAAAAAAGUUUUAUGGAAAAGAACUGUCGGAGACUCUGAUGCUGGUCCAGGUAGAAAUUCGAAACUGUAAUGCUAGAAAUAUAAAUUUUUGUAUUUAACCUGUGUUCAUUUUCUAAAAAUGUAGAUAUCUUAAGUUAGCCUCAGGACGGAUAUGGGUUCUGAAGGUGAGAAAGAUCGUGAAGAUCAAUCUGGUGAGACUCACGAGAAGUCGUCUACUUCUCUAGGGCGUGAGAUUGUUCAGGAGUUUGGGGUCCAUGUGAUUUCGUCAACUUCAGGUAGCCAUAACCCGGAGCUUAAUACUGAGGCAUUGACUCAGGUAGUGAGAGAGGUAUUAGAGAAGGUAUUCGAGGCUAAGAUAAGGGGGACUAGUGAGACCCUUUAAGCUAGGUGUGUGGACUGUGGAAAGAAAAGAGAUCGCAGUUCUUCGAGGUUGGAGCCUCAUUCUGCGAAGCGUGUUAGAACGCAUGUGAGUGGCAAUAGUGGUUUUACAGAGGGUGCUAGUAGUGGUGCAAGCGCUCCAUUUUGUGACCACAGUAAGAAGUGUCAUCCAGGCAAGUUUUGGAAAAAGUUGGGUGCGUGUUUUUGAUGCGGGUCCACAAAACAUCGAAAUCGGAAGUGCCCUCGAUGAUUUUGAGACAGGUAUGGUGGUGAAUAUUUCGACGAUUAGAUUAAAGUAUUGAAAUUGUGUGCAAUAGGACAACUGUGUGUCUGCUUCAGUGGUUAAGUGUUUUGGGUGUGUGUGUGAGGUCUUAGAUUUGAUUUGGGUCUACUCGGGUUAGAGUGCACAGUGGGAGCGUGGUGGUGUAGUUUGUGAUUUACCAUUAUUUUGUUAGUUGGAAAUUUCGAGACAAAAUUUCUUUAAAGAGUGGUGAGUUGUAACGCCCUGAAUUUUAGGCUAGAAGUUUUGGGUUUUGUGAUUAGGGUCAAUGAGUUGGUGGUGCUAUUGAGUUUAGUUGUGCGUUUAAGUAGCAGAAUGGGCUUGCUAGUAUGGUGGUUGUAUGUGUGUGUUAGUUUGUCUCGGGGUUGGAGCCUUUGGUUCUGCGUUUGAUGUAACGUUUUAUUUUGGGUUUUGUUUUAAGUUAAAAUUUUAUUCUUUUUAACUAUUUAUUUUGAACUCUAUUUUUAAUUUUUAAUUUUAUUAUUAUUCUACUUUGUUUAAUUUUGGGGGGAACGCUCUUUCUUCUUUUUCUUUUUGGGGUUUUUGUUUUCGCUUUGAUUUUUUUCUUUAAUUCCUUGUUGAAAAUGGGUUUGCUUGUAGAUUUCGAAGAAUCUCGCUCCUCAAUCGUCGAAUCAGCUGUGGGGUUCGAAUCUUGUAUACCUUUAUUUUGUGAAUUAUUGUUUCAAAAAUUCUCGUUUGUGUUCUUAACAAAUCGAUUUUGGGAUGUUUGUUGCUGAAAAAGGUUUGGGAAUACAACAAAUCCUGAUACCCUUCUAUCAUUGCGAAGGUUGGGGCUGUUGCGAUGGCUGAAAUAGAUUUUUCUUGCUUGACUUGAGGUGGUUUUGUGGCAACUGGGGCUUCCACACGAGCGUGUGCUAGUUCACACAGCAGUGUGCUUUUGGGAAUUAAGGUUUCCAGGCCAAUUUUGGUGCCACACGACCGUGUGGUCGACUUGGGGAUUUUAUCGUUUCUCACCUUGUCGUUUCCCUCAGGCACACAGGCAUAUGAGAUUAGAGAUUAGGGUUUGAGUGAUUUGGUGCCACACGGCCGUGUGGCUAAUUUGGGAAUUUAAAGAUUCCACACGGUCGUGUGUUUUGAGGCACACAGCCGUGUCUGGUGGGCACACAGGCGUGUGAGACCCUCACACGGUCGUGUCAACCUUGUACUCAAAUUAAGUGCAAAUGGACAGAGAGUUACAAGGCCUGCUCCCACGGCCAUGUACCCGAUUUACACGGGUAUGUGCCCCUUUUUACACGGGCUUGUGACCUUCCACAUAGCCUAGGCAUGGCCACACGGCCAGAGUACACGGGCGUGUGGCUCUAAGUAACCCAUUUUGAUUCUGUAUGUGUUUGAUUCGAGCUUUUGCUUGUGUGUUUUGCCUUGGCUGAUCUUUAGUCAGGGUGGCUAAGAAUUCUGAUCUAGGCUUCGGUCUAAGUAUAUCGGUGGUUUUCAUGUGAGAUGUUUGAAUCUAAAUCUGUUCUGUUGGGUGUGUGUGCAUAGCCGUUCUGUCUGACUGUCUGAUAUUUUGUCUCUAUUUUGUGAUAUUGUAUGCAUACAUAGACCUGCAAUAUUUUGGGAUGGGUUUUGAAGAGAAGGGAGUCUGAUCUGAUCUGACAGUUCAAACUGUAAUUUGUUUGUACUGCGGAUUACCGCAUUGCACUGUACAGCAUAUACGCCAGCUCUACUGCGUAUUGAUAUCUUAGUGGCUUGGUCCACAUAUGUGGUGUGUAGGGUUGGAUAGGCCCUCAAGGUCUUAAGUGGUGUGUUGGUUGGAUGAGCUUAAACAACUUUAUGGGGUGUGAUCGGGGGAUGGAGAAGUGUGUUGGAUGGAUGGGUGGGUUUUAUCAUCUGAUUGCUUUCACACGCAUUGAUCUGAGUGUUCUGAGUGUAUGACUAUCUGAUUGUUUUCUGUUUGACUGAAUUCACUUGUGACCGAGUGUCUGUGUGUGAAUUGGGGUGCUUGAGUGUUAUGUUCUUUUAGGACGUGAGUUCCAAGUCUCUUUUUGAAUCAAUUUAUUUCUGUGAAUCUAAUGUGAUAUUGGUUUGAACUCUAUGGUUUGUUUUUAGUUUUGAUUCAGACUCACCUGAGCUUGAGUAGCUCACCCCCUCUUAGUGUUUCCCUUUCAGGUACACUUCUGAAUUCUGACGCUGGACUCGGUGUGGAGAGGUCUCAAACAAUCUCGACAGAAAUAAAUGAUUAUUAGUUUAUAUUUUCAGUUUAUAUUUGGUUAAACGAUUUUUGAACCGUAAGAUUUUAUAAAUUUGUGGUACAUGUUUCGUUUAAAAUUGUAAUCGUUUAUUUAGUUUCGUUUACGUAUGUUUAAUUCAACUGUAAUUCUAUCAUUUGGGUUUUAAAUGAUUAAAUGUUCUACUUUGACAUGAGUACUUGUUUUGAAAAAUUUAACUACUGUUACUUCGGUGACCAAUGUGACAUUCGGGAUUCGAUCUAAACUUCUAGGCCUGGUUUUGGGUGUUAUAGCAUUAAGCACGAGUAAUGAAAAUAGUAGAAAAAUAAACAACACAAGAUGUGUUUACGCAGUUCAAUUUCCCUACAUCUGUAGUGCCUUACCCAACGAGAAUAUUCACUAUCUUAGUACCUAGUACAAGUGUUUCCAAGCUCUAACAUUCAUCGGUUUAUAUUUUUCACUUUCAUACCUAAAAUCUAAACAUCUCCCAUCUAAUUUUUUCCCUUGAAAACUUAAGACUCUAACCAAGUCACACACUUGAUUAUUACAAAAUAAUGCACUCAAAAAUACGUUCCUCAUUAAACAAAAUAAAGUUCUCUUAAUCAAUACAAUGCCUAUGCAAGUUCUCACGAUAUAUAAAUGAGACUUGCUAACAUACUACAAUUGUUACAAUCAAUUAUCCCUCAAAUUAACUAAGAUAAAUAACACAUAUAAAAUAUUUAUAAUGCCACACGAUAAGUCUUCAAUCAACUAGAUAUCUUUUCUAUAAUGGCCAUGAGUCGAUCUGAUCCAUAAGAUAAGGGAUGAUGAUUACUUUGACCCAAUCCAAACUAAUCUCCAAGAUUUCUUGCUAAAUGUAGUUCGGAUAUGAAAGAUGGGUUCGCAAGUAUGUCACCAACUAAGGAAAUCAUAGCCUAAACAUAUUUGUUGCCAAAAUAUGCCAAUCCAAACAUGACAAUUUUUUUAUAUAACCAAUGCUACUACUACCUUGCACUUGUUUAGGCACUAGUCCAAGCACUCUAUGAAAAUAUAUACUUCAAUAAUCUCCUUCUUUGAAAAAUUUUUUAACAUAAAAAAAUAAAAAAAAGGAGAGCUUAACCAACAAUAAACUUCAAUGCUCCCCUUAAGUAACAACCCUUAAUCCAUCAUACUAUAACUACUAAUAUAACCAAACAUAUUAAUCAUUAAUGCAUAUGAACCAAAAUAGCAUUAAGAAGAAAAACUCUCAAAGUUCAUAUCAUAGCUAUUAUAGACAGUAUAAGGUUCACAAAAGAUUAACCAACUAAAUAAAAAAGUUCAAAGUUAAACACCAUUACUAGCUAGUAAAAGAUAUAAAAUCUUGUGCAGCAAGUGAACUUUAAGAAAAGUCCAUCAACUAAAGCAAAUGAUCUAGAACUAAACAAGAGCAGUAAAAGAUUGAUUAUACUAAAUUAGUUGUAGUAGAAAACAAGCCUAAGCAGAAGUCUAUUGAAAAUGUGCUACCAAAAACUAUGAUUGACAACAAAGGCAAGUUUCCCUAAUCAACAAUGCCACCACUAGUGCUAGCUCCUAGCAAUACUACUCCCUUUUUUUUUUCAACAAAUUUUCCAAACAUCAAUGAAGUAGCUUGGGUAGCAGGUCAUUCCUUAAGGCUUUGGCUCUUCUAACAUUGACUUGGAGUUAUUGAAUGGCUUGCUCUUGGGAGGCAAUCUCAGUGAUAAACUAUAAAAGUAACAUGUUUUUAAUCCUAUUCUUGAUGCCUUUUUGGAUGAUUUAUUAUGUAAAUUAGUGAAUUUGUUGCUCCUAAUCCUUUAAAUUCAUGUUUCUAUACUUAGGUGAGCAUAACGAAGCGAAAGGAGCGAAAAACGGGCCAAAAUCAGACAAAAGAGCUGGUUUCAGGAUCCACACGGUGUGGGCAUUACACACGGGCUGGUCACAUGCCCGUGUGAGCCACACGGGCUGGCCACACGCCCAUGUGCCAGCCCAUGUCGAUUUCACACCCUGUUUUCUUUUUACAUGAAAAAAUUCAAUUUUUAGGGAUUUUGAGCAUUCUAAAGUUUAUAAAUACAUAGUAGAAGAGGACCUAGGAGAGCACACAGAGAAGAACAAAGAAAAGACUCAAAGAACGCCACUAGAUUCAGUUUAGAAGUGGAUCUCCUUCAAGAUUGAAGAUCUCUAUUCAAUUUUUUUAGAAGUUUUAUUAGGUUUUUUUUGUCUUGUUGUUUUCUGAACUUUGAGAUAAUGUUAUUCCAGAUUAUGAACUAAAUUCCCUAGAUGCCUAGGGAAGAUGAAACCUAUAUGAACCUUAUUAUUUGAUUUCUGAAUUACAUGAUAAAUACUUGAUUCUUGUUCUCAAUUAUGUAUGCUUAUUUCAUGUUUUAAUAUUUUUAAGAUAUUAAUUCAUGCUUAAUGUGCUUAAUUCAGUGGAGCAAAAGUCCCUGUUUAAGAGUAGAUCGAGCAUAAUUGAGUGGAGUUGCAUGCAAUCCUAGAAAUAAGACGACAUAAAUCUACUAGAUUAGAGUCAAAUCUAAUAGAAGAAUCCAUAGAUCGAGUUAAUGCAACAAUAGGGGUUUUAAUUAGAAAGAGAUUUUAAUUAAUCAACCUAGAGUCAGUUGUUUUUACUCUUGAAAGAGAUAUUAACAUAAAUUAGGAAUUUCCACGGAUCAAGGCACGAAUGAAUAAAUCGUUUAAUUCAGAUUCUGAAUAAUAAGUGAAGUCUAGGUGGAUUCUUUCCUAGGUAUUGUCUAUCUCAUUGGUUUAAUUCGAUUAUUUACCUAAUUCAUUCUCUAUCAUGUUCUUAGUAAUUAGUUUAGUUAAUUUUAGAUUAAAAACAAUUCCUUCAAUUUAUCGGCUAGUUAAUAGAAAAAGAAUAAGUACUAGUACUUUUAGUCCUCGUGGAUACGAUAUUCCCGACUCACUAUAGCUAUACUAUUAUUCGAUAGGUGCGCUUGUCUUUGUCGUAAUUUUAGUUAGUUUAGUGUCCAUCAAGUUUUUGGCUCCGUUUUCAGGGAUUAAAAUAUUAGGAACACUCGUUUUUUUAUUAAUUUAGCCAUUUUUAUUUGUAUUGCAUUUUAUCUUUGUUUUAGCUUAAUUUUUGGUUUCUAAUUUUUUCUUUUAUUUGCUUCUGACAGGUUCUUUUAGUUUAUAACUAGAAGAAAACCGUCGGGACCUUUGGUAUUUGAUAGUCAAAUUAAAAGUUAUAGCUCGUAGAAACCGUAGAAAAGCAAAGCAGAAUCGACAGAAUAUAGUGGAAGAGUAAGAGUACGUUAUUGUUAUUACUAAGGAGAUGGUUGAUAAUUAGAAUAAUCAGCUACCUCCUGUGGUUGCCGCAAAUACUGCAAAUCUGAAUCCUAUUCCUCGUAAUAUGUACGAUUAUGCCAAGCCCACUCUAAGUGGGGCUAAAUCGAGUAUUGUAAGACCUACCAUUGCUGCAAAUAAUUUCAAAUUGAAGCCGAACACUAUUCAAAUGAUUCAACAGUUUUUUCAGUUCGAUGGUUUGCAAGAUGAAGAUCCAAAUACUCAUUUGGCUAAUUUUCUGGAAUUUUGCGACACUUUCAAGAUUAAUGGCGUUUCUGAUGAUGUCAUUUGGCUACAGUUGUUUCCCUUCUCGUUGAGGAACAAAGCUAUGCAGUGGUUGAAUUUCUUACCACGAGGUUCGAUCGUUAUGGGAUCAAAUGACCGAGAAAUUUCUUUUGAAGUACUUUCCACCGGCUAAGACAGCUAAGCUAAGGAAUGAUAUCUUUUCCUUCGUACAGAUGGACUUAGAGACCCUAUAUGAUGAACCAGAGAGGUAUAAUAAUUUAUUGAAAAGGUGCCCUUACCAUGGGUUACCUUUAUGAUUACAGGUUCAAACAUUCCACAACGGUUUGAAUCCCUCAACUAAGCAGUUAAUCGAUGUAGCAACCGGUGGUACUCUGAACAAUAAAACACCUGAAAUGGCUUAUGAGUUUAUUGAGGAAAUGUCACUGAAUAAUUAUCAGUGGCAAGUCAUUAGGACGAAGCCGAUGAAAGCAGUCGAUGUUUUUAACGUAGAUGCAGUCACCAUGUUAUCGAAUCAGGUAGAACUUUUAAGUAAGAAAAUUGAUGGUUUAUAUGGUUCCACGCAGGUAUAUCCAGUGAUGCAGUGCGAUUCAAAUGGAUGAGAAACAAACAAUCCAGAAUAUUUACCCUACGAUUCUAGCACAGAAGACAAACAAGUCAAUUGUAUGGGUAAUAAUUCUAGGUCUCAGAAUAAUCCUUACAGUAACACUUAUAAAUCAAGUUGGAGGAACCGUCUCAAUUUCUCUUGGGGUGGUCAAGGAAACUAGAGACCACAACCCCCUCCAGUCUUUCAACAACAACCUUACCAAUAAGAGAAAAAGUCAAACCUUGAGGAGAUGCUAACGAAGUUUAUUUCGGUGUCAGAAACCCUUUUCCAAAACACCGAACAACACUUAAAAAUUAAAAAGCAUCGAUUCAAGGGCUCGAGAACCAAAUUGAUUACUUGAUAAGUUGAUUUCAGAAAGGCCACAAUGUAGCUUGCCUAGUAAUACCGAAAUUAACCUGAAGGAGCAACUUCAAGCAAUUACUAUGAGAGAUGAAGAAAUAUUAGUUGAAUCUGAACCAAAAUCGAGGCAAAAAAAUAUGUUAAGUAAAAGUAAAGUUGAGGUAAGCUAAAAUGAACAAAAGUAGUCAGUAAGGAAUAUAAACCUCGUAUAUCAUAUCCCAAUGCAACAAAGAAAGACCACACAAACAAACAAUUUGGUAAAUUUAUUAAACUUUUGAAAAAGUUACAUAUCAACUUACCAUUUAUUGAAGCUUUUUCGCAGAUGCCCAAUUCAGUUAUAUUUUUAAAGGAGCUUUUGGAAAACAAAUGGAAGUUAGAUGAUUCGUCGCACGUUGAGCUAAAUGCAGUGUGCUCAGCCAUUCUGCAAAAUAAACUACCCAAUAAAUUGAAAGAUCCAGGGAGUUUUACUAUUCCUUGUUUAAUUGGUAGUUUAAAUGUUGGUAAUGCUUUGGCUAAUUUAGAGGCAAAUAUUAAUGUCUUGCCCUAUAAAAUAUUUAAGCAACUAGGUUUUGGGAAACCCAAACAGACUAGGAUGAGUACUCAAUUAGCAGAUAGAACCAUUAGAUUUCCUACAGGUAUUGUUGAAGACGUACUUGUGAAAAUUGAUGAAUUCAUAUUCCCAGUUGAUUUUGUUGUUUUAGACAUGGAUGAGGAUAGUGAUGUACCUUUAAUCUUAGGACAACUUUUUUUAGCAACUGCCAGAACUAUUAUCGAUGUUGGUACAGGUGAAUUGAUACUUCAUGUAGGUGAUGACACGAUUAAACUCCAAGCUCGUAAUUCUGUUAAGACAUCUAGUGAUCGAAAUGAUUAUAUGAGUUCUGUUAAUAUGUGUAACCUUGUGGCUCUAACUUUUUUGCAAGAAAUUCCUCGGAAGAACAUAGUGGAGCCACGUUCCAAUCCUUGAGACAAAAAUAGAACGAUUCAUGAAGAACGAAUGCUACUGAUCAAUGAACUAGAUGAAUGGCAAAUAUAUGUCAAGGAGAAACAGAGAAUACACGAUGCAGAACCAAACGAUGCCAUGACGAGCAUAAGGAUGGAACGAAUCAAUUUAAGGUUGAGGGCCAGGUACUAUUAGAUAAAAUGGACCCUCGAAUUACCACUGUAGAGCUUAAUACAAACGGAGCAACUCCUUUUACGGUAUUGAAUGUCUUCCUAUACGGUACAGUCGAGGUAACUCAUUCUGAAUUUGGCACUUUUAAGGUAAUAUUACUCGACUCAAACCUUAUUUUGAUAAUAGAAUUAAUAGUAAGAAAGAGGAGUUUCAACUCCGCGAACCAUCAUGACCAUGCGAAUACAAGGUAAGUCGAGCUUAGACUUUAAAUAAGCGCUUCUUGGGAGGCAACCGAGCGUUAACACUACUAAUUUCUUAAUUUUGUCCAUGAUAUUUUUUAAAAUUAAUUAAUUUUUAAAAUUAGAAAAAAAUGUUUUUUGACCCACAUUGCUUGGACACACGAGGGUGUCCCAGGUCGUGUACACUAAAAGGGGUUCGACAGUAAGUUACACAGCCUGGUGACAUGGCCAUGUGACCCACACGGCUUGGACAAUGGGCAUGUCCUUGGCCAUGUGGAUUCUGGGACUUAAUUUUUUCAAAAAUCGAUAGAGACACGACCUAAAAUAGUCCAUACGAGCGUGUGACACGUCGUGUAGACCACACGGCCUGGACACACGGGCAUGUCCUAAGCCAUGUGAAACUAAAAGCUAAUUUUUUUCAAUUUUAAAACAAGUCAGAGAGUUACACGGGUAAGGCACACAGCUGUGUGCGAGACAAGACCGAGCCACACGAGCGUGUGGGAGGUCACACGGGCGUGGGAGAAGUAAAAGAGGUUGCACACGGCCAUGUGAACACACGGGCGUGUCCAAGGUCAUAUGAAGACUGGGUUAAAAAUUUUUAUCGCACACAAGCUAAACAAAAGCCACAAGAGCGUGUGACACAAUUGUAUGGCCCAACACGGGGCCUUAAACGACCGUGUCCCCUUUUAACCCCCAACCCUAAUUUUUUUAUUUUUACUUUACCUUCUUCCCUGAAUUCUCCAACCCUAGCAGUCGGUUCCAAAGCCUUCCCCUACUCCAGCCACCUUUCACAACCAUCGACCGCACCAAUCUCGCUCGUUUUCUUACUCUUGUUGACAACCCUAUUCACCUAAACCACCCCUCGCCUCGAACCCUCUCAUCCAGCAACCCCCACGACUACAUCAGCCACGUCUCCUCACCUCGCCCUUUCCUUUCCCUUCCUCCCUUACCAACAUUAGAGCCACACGCACCCCCGACCUUCACAACCCCUCCCUCUCCCUCCUUCCUGAUCUCCCCCUUCCAUUCCAUUCUCCCUUAUAGCUAUUUAGCCAACAUUUAGCCACACCUUGAGCGCACCACCGUCGCCGUACUCCAUUCCAUCAUCAUCGUCCGGUCGCCACUACCAUUUCCCCGUCAGUCAAUGAUUGUUGUCCUAUUUUAUUUAUUUCUUUAUUUGUUGCUUGUUUAUUAUUAUUAUUAUUAUUAGUUAUUUUAUGUUUAUUAUCUAUUAUUCUCUAGUCUUAGUUAUAUUCUUUUAUUUUCCUAGUUAUAUUUGUUUACUAACCUUAUUAUUAUAUUUAUUUCACUUUGUUUAUCAUUCAUUUUUUUUCUUAAUGCUACUGUUUUAGUUUAUUUUUCUAGCCAUUAGUAUGUUUCAUCCUUAGUUUAUUAAUUUGAAAUCAUUACUCACUAUUUCUAUUACUAUUGUUCCUUUUUCUUAGUAUUAGAAUUGUUUCUUUAUUUAUUUACUCCUGCUUUUUAUUUUCUUGCUUUCAGAAUUUCAUGAGUUGUCUUUUCUUAUUUCUUAUUAUUUUAGGAGUAAUGUGCUAUUUAGGACUACUUGGAUUUUACCUUUUUAGCAUUUGGUGAUGUGUAUUUUCUGAUAGUGAAUUAUUUUAUUUCAGGAUUAUUAUGACGAACACAGCGGAAAGUCUAAGGUCGUCGCCCCUGUUUAGAAAAAACGGAAGACCCCUGGCAUGACCUCCUCUUCGAGCGCUUCCGCCAAGGCUUGCCACCCUUAUCUCCUAUUUCCUACAGGCCCCUAGGAGGAUUCAUUUUAGUUACUUCAAAAGUGCCCACUCGGUCUAGGCCAAUGUAUUAAUUGGGCCGCGUUAGAGCAGGUCUGACUACCUAAUGAUAUUCGUUCCUUUAUUACCACAGCUCUUUGGGACAGAUUCUUCUCCAUCAUCGAGCCCACAUAAAUGGAGCUAACGUUGGAGUUUUGCUCGAUAUUUAUUCUAUAACAGGUCAUGACGACUCAUGAUGAGCCAGGCACCAUCACUUUUUGACUUGGUGGCUUGGUGCGCCAGAUAAGUGUCCUCGAGUUUGGUGCUACUAUGAGACUCUACACUGAGGAGUUCAUGAGUGCCGAGAACUUCCUCCGUCUACAUCGGCACAUCCAUUACACACCAUCACAUUGUUUGACAAAGCUUACAGCAAGUCAAGCACUUUAUGAUGCGAGUCGCUCGAAGGCGACUUCUCUCUCUCCAGCUUUACGGUACCUUCAUGCACUUUUAACUCACACUUUGACAGGUAGGAGAGAAAGCACUGGAGUCGUUAGUAGUCAUGAUGCCUGUUUUCUAUGGAGCAUGGCCAUCGAGCAUAUCUUUGAUUUGGCAUACUUCAUCGGCUUAGCCUUCUGCCAUCAGACUAACCGCCAUAAGAAGGGCUCCAUCUGUUUAGGCCCUUAUGUGACUCGUCUUGCUUGACACUUCGGUCUUCUCGACACACCGGAGCAGUCCUCCACACUUACUCUUGUCGGCCAGAUGUCCCCUCAGGGAAUCUCGAGCAUGAUUCAUAUUAGGAUGAUCGAGCAGCGUCGUGGAGUGGAUCCUCCCCAGUAUCGAUCAUUUCAUUCUGACGCUUAGAAUGAACUUGAAGACUUCACUGAUAAUGUUCCUCUCUAUCAUGAGGACCCACCAUAGCCUCUACAUUCGAGUUACUGCCCUUUUUCUUCUACUAUUACUUUAGCGAAUCUCUUCAAGUGAUUCACUCACUUCGAGCAGUACUGCAUUUAGAGGUUCGACAGUAUUAACGCAACACUGUAACAGAUAUGUUAGCAUCUCCAUAUCUCCUCUUCAGCACCGACAACUCAAGACACUGACAUGUCUGAUGAUGAGGACCAUUGAGUCCAUUUUUUUUUCUUUUUCAUUUUUAUUUUCUUAGACUUCUUUUGUUUUUAUAUUUUGAACUAUAUUUAUUUUUAUGGUUGUUUCUAAUCGAGUAUAAUCCCUUAAUCUUAUUCACUAUAUGUGUUUAUUUUCUUAGAAGUUUGGUCGGAAUCAUGCACUACAUCUAGAUCUGUAUUCAAUUCUGCUUUUCACUAUUCUGGGGAUCUCAUCCAAUAUUCAGACAGUUUCAGUUUUCUCCCUCUCUCAUGAUAUUCUGUUUAUACUAUGAUUAUAUCUAUUUGUAUACUGAGGACAAUGUACAUCUUAAGUGUGGGGAGGUUAUUUAUAUAAUUAUUAGAAAAUCUUUGAAUUAUGUCUUGUGUUUAGGUAAUUUUCUCAUACUUCUAUUAGAAUAAAUUUUAUUAGUUUAUGAUUUUUGUUGAUGUGUUUUGGAUUAAAUUCAUAGCUAUUGUGCAUUGAUUGUUUAAACUUUAAGACAUGAGAGAAUUAAGCAUGAUAAGUUGAUUUUCAAAAAAAAAAUUAUCUUGUUCCCUGAAUUAAGGUAUUAUCUUGAAGUUUUAAAUUUACAAGUUUGUCAUCAAAACCAUAAUCUUUUGUGAGAUUUUGAGCCUUUAGAGCAUACACUUUUCUUACUUAUUUUAUUAUUGGUUAUGAGUGUGUCAGUAUUGAUUUGUUAUUCUAGAACUUAUUACAAUUAUGCAUGUCGAGACCAUACCUUUGAUUUGAUAUACUGAGAUGAUAAAGGCACUUAGGUUUUAACAAAGCCUACCUUCAUAAUUAACCCUUAGUGAACCUUGUUGAGCCUAACACACCGUUUCUUGAUUUACCCAUCCAUGUUAACCCAUAGCUCAUUCUUUUGGUUCGUUGCAAAAUUUUCCCAUUUUAUUGACUCCCUUUUUAUCGAGAUUUGAUCUGGUUAGUUGCCUAACUAUGCUCUUUUGUUUCAUUUGCUGAGUUGUUUCUUAUUGUUCUAAAAAAAACAUGAUUAUUACUAGUUCUAUGUUAAUUGAGCUUGAACAGUUAAAUCCAUAUUUUGAGAAGAAGCUCGUGUUAUUCUUGAUAAGUUUUUGACUGAUGUAAUUAUUCAACAUUAGUUUAUUUUUCUAGUUUGGUAAUUUAUCAAUUCAAUCUCGAUUUGAACCAACUUUUUUAGCCUUUCUCCACACCCUUAACCUAAGCCCCAUUAAAACUUCUUAAAGACCUUUUGAUUUGUAUAUCAUCUCAUUUUAUAGUGGUGGAGAUUUGACUUUCAUGCAAGCCUAUGGUAAUGACUUUUCAUGUUUGACUAUUAAGUGCUUAUUUUUGAACCUUAAACACUUUGAGUGAUUUGAAUGAAUCUUUAGUGAGGAUGUCAAUUCUUUUUGGUUUUGAAUUAAAGGUAAUUACUUAGAUAAGGGGAAAGAUCUAUGUUUUCAUGUGUCAAAAAAUGCUUGACUUGAAUUGUUUGAAUCUUUAAUGCUCUUUUAGUUGAAUUAUCAAUGUAUGAUUAUUUGUGAAUUAUUUCAAAACAGUAUUGAUGAUAAUUAUAAGUUGAGAAAGAUUAAUUUUUAAUUAUUAGUUGAGGAUUUUGCUUGAGGACAAGCAAACGCUUAAGUAUGGGGAUAUUUGAUAAGCUAUAAAAGUAACAUGUUUUUAAUCCCAUUCUUGAUGUGUUUUUGGAUGAUUUAUUAUGUAAAUUAGUGAAUUUGAUACUCCUAAUCCUUUAAAUUCAUGUUUCUCUACUUAGGUGAGCAUAGGGGAGCGAAACGAGCGAAAAACAAGCCAAAAUCAGACAAAAAGAGCUGUUUUCAGGAUCCACAUAGCCUGGGCAUUUCCAUAUGAGAUGGUUACACAUGUGCCAGCCCGUGUCGAUUUCGCACCCUGUUUCCCUUUUACGCAGAAAAAGCCAAUUUUUGAGUAUUCUGAGCAUUCUAAAGUUUAUAAAUAUAGUAGAAGAGGAUCUAGGAGAGCACGCGGAGAGGAAUGAAGAAAAAACUCGAAGAACGCCACUGGAUUCAUUUCAGAAGCGAAUUUCCUUCAAGAUUGAAAAUCUCCAUUCAAUUUCUUUAGAAGUUUUAUUGGGUUUUUUUUUGUCUUUUUGUUUUCCUAACUUUGAGAUAAUGUUAUUCCAUAUUAUGAACUAAAUUCCCUAAAUGCCUAGGGAAGAUGAAACCUAUAUGAACCUUAUUAUUUGAUUUCUGAAUUACAUGAUAAAUACUUGAUUCUUGUUCUCAAUUAUGUAUGCUUAUUUCGUGUUUUAAUAUUUUCAAGAUAUUAAUUCAUGCUUAAUAUGCUUAAUUCAGUAGAACAAAAGUCCCUAUUUAAGAGUAGAUCGAGCAUAAUUGAGUGGAGUUGCAUGCAAUCCUAGAAAUAGGAUGACAUAAAUCUACUAGAUUAGAGUCAAAUCUAAUAGGGGAAUUCAUAUAUCGAGUUAAUGUGACAAUAGGGGUUCUAAUUAGAAAGAGAUUUCAAUUAAUCAACCUAGAGUCAAUUGUUUUUACUCUCGAAAGAGAUAUUAACAUAAAUUAGGGAUUUUUAUGGAUCAAGGCGCAAGUGAAUAAAUCGUUUAAUUCAGAUUUAGAAUAAUAAGUGAAGUCUAGAUGAAUUCUUUCCUGGGUAUUAUCUAUCUCAUUGGUUUAAUUCGAUUAUUUUCCUAAUUCAUUCUCUGUUACAUUCUUAGUAACAGUUUAGUUAAUUUUAGAAUAAAAAAUUUCCUUCAAUUUAUUAGCUAGAUAAUAGAAAAAUAGUAAGUACUAGUACUUUUAGUCCUCGUGGAUACGAUAUUCCUGACUCACUAUAGUUAUACUAUUAUUCGAUAGGUGCGCUUGUCUUUGUCAUAAUUUUAGUUAGUUUAGUGACCAUCACUCAGCAUCAAGAUAAUGAAGCAUCCUUUGUUCAAAAGCUGAUAGUUGAGCAUAUUUUCCUUCCUCAACGAAAACUCCUUCAAGCACUAUCUCUAUUGGUAGAUCUACUGCACCAAAAACAGUCUCAGGUAUAGAAGCCUUGUGUUUCCCUUCGAACCACUUGUAAGAAAACUUCUACUCUGCCUGCUUUCUCUCAUAUUUCUCCGUAGCCAAUAUAAUUUUAGAAUUUUGAUUAUACGUAAUCUGAAAAAUAAUAUAAGUAUGCUUGAGAUUUAAGGCUUGAAGUUUUGUAGCUUGAGGCUAUGUAGGAUGAACAUCAUUUGUGAUGAUGUUGACCAUGGUGUCAUAAGACUCAUCAAGUUCAGCAUUUGUAGUGGAUGAAUGCAACAACAAGUCUUUAUCCUGAGCAGGCCCAAAAUCAUACCACCCCCUCUUACAUAUACCUUGUCAUAAAGUUUGCUUGCAAGAUUAUUGAUAAUCUUCAGCAGAUUUGCAUAGAAUUCAUACACCACAUCCUUCACAUAUGGUUUGAAAAACGCAACCAAUUAAAGAAGUUCAUUCUUAUCAAGGAUUAAUCAAUCCCUUUAUCAUCGAUGUUUUGUUCUUCAAUAAAAGGUUUUUUUGUAAUAACUCGAUUUUCAAUAGUGUUGAAAUAUUUAAUUUUAGGGAUCAAUUUUAUUAAAACCGAGACAUUCGUAAUUUGGAACUGAAUAAUUACGUGUCAAGUAUAUAAUUGAGAGAUCAAAUUAUUAAGUGAUAAUAAAUUAAACCAAUUAUUAAAAAUAAUACGAGGAAUAAAUUGUAAUGUUAAUUAUACGAGUGAAUUUGAUUAAAUUUUAAACAGGCCUUUAAUGUGUAAUAAAACCAAUGACCAAAAAGGUAAUUAAAUCAUCAUUAAAUUAAUUAGUUGAGUGAAAUAAGCAUCACCAUCCAUUAGCACUGAUGGUUUCUUAAAUUAAUUAAACCAUUAAUUAUUAUGAUUAUUUUAAUUAAUAAGAUUUUAUCAAAAUAAAAGUAUGAUAAAGGGAUAAAAAAGAAUAUUUAUUCUCCCAUUUCUUCUUUUAGCUACAAGCAAAACAAAACAAAAUGUCUAAGUUUUCUUACAUACAACCAAAACCAUGAGCUUGCCAAAGGUUUUAAAUAAUUUUAUUUCAUAACUUUUGUUAAAUUAUGCUUUAAAAAUGUUAUAUUUAAUUAGCCUUAAUAUUAAAAUUGUUGUUUAAUAAGUUUUGGUUUUGUUUCCAUGGUUGGAAAUCUUAAAAAAAAAAUUGAAGAUUUAGUGUUUAAGCGCAUGCAUGUGUAAUGUUGGUUAAUUUAUGGAAAGGUUAUGUUAGGAAAUGCAAUAGGGAGCAUGAAAUUAAGGUUAGAUUAAGUUUUAAUUACUUGAUUAAUUAAGUUUAACUAUGGACCUAAUUGUAAGAGAUAACAAUUUUGAGGUUUAAUAUUGAAAGAUAGUAAUGUGAGGUCUCUAUACUAUAUUUAUAAAUUCGGAUUUAAAUUUGAUUGGGUAAAUUGUGAGAUGCAAGUGUUUCAAAUUUCUGGAAUUUGAGGGAUCAAAUUUGUAACACCCAUCGUUCAACCCAAUCGUUGAGUGCGAGCUAUAGGUUGCUACAUUAGUUACCACAGCAACUACAAUUGAAUUCACAGUAAAAUAAUAAGUCACACAUGCAAUUAAAUGUCAAACACAUUCAUUUUAGGUUAAUCAUUCUACUUCAAGGCUUAAUCGAGCUUACAAAAGCUCUUUCAUUAACUUGGCACGAAAUAAAACCAAAAUGCAAAGUUGUAAAAGUUCAGGGCUGACACCGUGAUAUCCUCUUCCCCACGUUGUGACAUCGCCAAAUAGUUUGUCACUUCGUGACCUCAGGCCACUUGACGUCACAACGUGACUCACUAUCAGUCGACGUUGUGAUGAGGUAAGUUGGUUGUUAAGAUGUGGACUUUGUUUUUUGGUAAAAAUGAACCAUUUAAUACCUAUUUCAAAGUUUCCAACCAAACCUAUUAGCAUAUUCAACAAAAACCAAUUUCAAUUGAAUCAAAACAUACCAAAAAUAUGCCAAAUAGUCAAGCAUCUAUGUUCAAGUUCUUAUCUAGUCAAUCACUACUUAUAUUCCAUGUAAACCUAAACAAUUCAAUGCCAUUACAACCUAACUUUCAAGUCAUGCAAUUUCCAAACUUUACAUAUGUCAAACCACCUUGAAACAUACUAUUAACAACUUAUGAACACAUAAACAUAUCCAAAACUUAUAGGCAUUUAACAUACCAUCAAUAUCUAAAUUAGGCCACAUUUUUCAAGCAUACUUCAAGUUAAUCAUGUUCAAAUGCAUUUCUAUCUCAUUCACCUAUACCAUUUCUAUCUCAUUCAAUGUUAUUCCAUAUGUUCAUCACAUCACUAAGCAUAAAAUGCAUAUAUGUUCAUCUCCAUAUGUGAAUCAAAACUCCAAAUCAUCACAAGUUACCAAACUUAUCAAGAUGUCUUAUACAUCAAGGAUAGUGUAAGCUUCAAGAAAAUUCGGUUUGACGUGAUUCGCAAGGUGACGAUCUAUAAGGAAAAGAGAAAAAAAACUAGGUAAGCUAAUUAGUUUAUCAUUAACAACCAAAAAUCAAUUACUAUCGAGUUAAAUUUACAGUUUAUUCAUAAAAUCCUAUUUACAUGCUCCUAAUCAAUCACUUGUAUUUCUACAAGCUCAAGCACACAUAAGCACACAAAAUUAAAAUUAAUUAUUAAGAAAAUAAAAGCAAGUGACAAAAAUUUAAAAAUUUUGAAAAAAAUUGAAAAAUUCUAUGUUAUCCCUGUAUUAACCCAAAUUUACCCGACCCAGAAAAUAAAAAAACAAAAAAUAAAAAGUCCUUUACAGUCCAUUUACAAAUCACGCCAGUAGCCCAUUACACUUAAAAGCCCUUUAACCCGAACUAGACCCAAAUUAGUGAGGCCCAGGAAGGCCCAAUGCCUAAAUUGAAUCAGGAAACCCUAGGGUUUCCAGAAACUUCGCGCCGCAAACGCCAAACGUCAAGCCACUUUAUCUCGCGCCGUUUCGGUGACCCCUCAUCGACACUUCCAUCGGCGUUGUGACUACUGUAAUCUACGCACAAAUCAACACCCUAUCGUUGCUAAAUUUCUCGCUGGUACCUGCAAAAAAGGAAAGAAGAACAAUAAAGGCAAUACAAAUAUGGCAGGGAAUAAAAUCAAACAUGUUAAAUAUUAUUUUCAGUGGCUAUAAAAGGCCGAAUCAAAAUGAUGUAAAGCACGGUUUUUUUUAUAAACGGAGAUAUACAAUAAAGAAUACAAUAGUUUAUCAAAGAAAAUAGAGGUGAUUAGUUCUUUACCUUUUCUUCUUGUUGCAAACAUAUACAAAUGUUAUUAAAAUAAAAGGAAAGGGAGUUUACUGUUGGAUUUGCGCUAAAAAUCGGAAGCUUUUCGGCUUUCGGCCGCCGUAUCUACCGGAGUUGAUGACGGCACGUGGGCGCGUGAGUCCGAUGACCGGGGCUUGGCCCGACGGAGGCUGGACCCGGGAGGACUUCCUCUCUUUUCCUCUUUCAGAGGGUUUCUGUUCUUCUUUUUUUAAAACCAGGGGCUAAAAUGAUUUUUUAAGUUUUUUUUACAUUUAUAAGCUACCUAUAAGACGUCGUUUUGGGAUGACCGUUUAGUGACAAAAACGGUGUCUUUUCAUGGCUGAGGAUCCGCGCGUUGAACCGUGACCCGGGGAGGAUCCGCGCAUUUUUGGUAAAUGGGAAAAUUACUGUUUGAGCCCUUCCGCAUUUUUCGUUUUUUAAACGUCGUUUAAUUUUAAAUUUCUUUAUUUUUAAAUCUGGCCCUAAUAGUUUGUUUCUGUUUCAAUUUGGUUCCUGAACCCUUUAAAGUGUAAUUUUCGAAACGGCGCCGUUUUGGGAUUAGGGAUAAUUGCCCAGUGAGUCCCUUGUGUUUUGGCGCGCGCUUUAAUUGGAUCCCAAAUUCAUUUUAUUUUAAAAUUAACCCUAAAGUUUUGUUUUUAUUUCAUUUUAAUCCUUUUGAUUUUUUUAUAAAUUAUUUAUUUUAAAUAUAAUAUACAAUAUUUAUUUUUACCAUAAACAUUAUCUAUAUAUGAAAAAUUAUUAUAUAUAUUUUUUUAUUUUUUAUUUGUGUAUUAUUUGUUAUAUCAUUUACAUUUCAUUAUAUAUUUUGAUUUAUACAUUUUAUUAUAUAUCAUUUUAUUAUAUAUUAUUGUUAUUUUAUUAUAUAUUAUAAUUAUUCAUUAUUUAUUAUUAUAUAAUUUUAAAAUUUGUAAAUUAUUAUUAAAUAUUGCAUUUUUAUAUCAUUAUUAAAAUUUAGUAUGUAAUACACUAAAAUUUAUAAUAAAGUUUUAUUCCUAUUAUACAAUAUUAUUUUAUAAAACAUAUUAAAUUAUUACAUCAUAUAGUCUAUUUUUUAUUAAUCAUAUAUAAAAUCUUCUUCUUUACUAUUUAUCUAUGGUUUUAAAUAUUUUUUAAAAAUACCUCAUUUAAUUUUUAUUGUAUUUUAUUUUUUAUAUAUGUUUAUAAUUUUUUAUUUAUUUUUGCGUCCUUUUGGAUUUAUUUAGUAUCGUUUUAAUAUGUUCUCAAAAAUUAUUUGUAUUUUUAUGUUAUUUACUAUUUAUGUAUAUUUGCAUGAAAAUUGACUAUUUAUGUUGUUAUUUUAAGUUAUAUUUAUAUAUCAUAUUAUUGUACACAUAUUAUGCAAUUUAUAUUGUUAUAUAUUUGUCGAAACCCUUUUUUAAAUCGAGUUUUGGAAAAUGGGAAUCGACUUUAAAAAACGAAAAUGGGAGUCGCCACCAAUCUUUUUAGGUGUGAUUGGAUCACCUUUAAAAUAUUUUGUUUUAAAAUCAUUAGUUUUGGUCUACGAAAUAAAAGAACGGGUUUGGGAGUCGGUUACGUACGAGGAAGGAUUAACACCCUUGUAACGCCCAAAAAUUAGUACCUAAUUAAUUAUCAAAUGUCUUUAAGGUCGGAAAUUUAAGAAUUUUAAGAUACAAUCCUCUUUAAAAUAUUUUGAUUUUGAAAGUUGGGGUUCACUUGUAUCAAAAUAUUGACACUAAGUUAGCAUUUUGGAAAUCCCUAUCUCGAAAACAACAAAACGCCAUAUCUAGUAAGUUAGGACACAACGCUUUGAAAUUUCCAAGACAGUUGCUCGUAUUUUGAAAAUCUUUAAAAACUUAGAAGGGUACCUGACUAUUCGAACUCAACGAGAAAAGUUGCAACCCAAUAAGUUAGGGCACUACUUUUCUCGAUGUUUCCAAAUACCAAGCAUUGCCUUUUUAUUUUUUGAAAACUUUGAAGUCUCUUUUUUAAAACCGAUGCAUGAAGGAGCAUAUUAACAUAACAUACGAGAUAACAUAUAAUUCAACAUAAAACAUAAUACAUAUUUAAAAAGAAUAGGUAAAAAUUCCUAAACACAUAAUUCAACAUAUAUUUAAACACAAAUGAUGUAUGAUAUACAAUUUUAACACAUAUAUAAAAAAAUGCAUUUGAAAAUAAAUUAUAAAAGUCUAAGAUAUUACAUAACAUACAAAAUACAUAACAUAGCAGUAAUACAUUAAUUCUAAAGUAAAAGCAAAUAUUGUAUAAUAAUAAAAACAUAAGUUUUUUUUUAAAUAUAUGUAUAAUAUAAACAAUUGAAAAAUAGAAUUAGCAUAUAAAAUGUGAUAUUUAAUGAUAGAUUUAAAAUAUAAUAUAUAAUAAAAAAUAUAUUUAUAAGAAAAAUACUUAUAUAAAAAUAUAAAAUAUAUUGGUUUAGAAAAAUAAUGUAUAAAAUAUCAAAUAUGUAAAAUAAUUUAUAUUUAUAAUAAUUAUAUAAUAUAUAUAAAUAUAAGUUUAGAAUAAUGUGAAAUAAGUAAUUAAUGAUGAAAUAUACGUAUUAUACAAAUUACAAUAUUAUAAUAUCUUCAAAAUGUGUAAUAAUAGAAUAUAAGUAAAGUAAUUAUUAACAUAUAAAUAAAAAUAAGUAUAUAAUAUAAGUUAAAACCUUUAAUGAUAAUAAUGUAUAAAUAAAAAACAUAUAAUAGUAUAAAAAAUGACAUAAUAUAAAAUAAUUAUAAUAUAUAAUAUGAAAGUAUAUAUGUAAAAAUAAUGUAUAAUAUAUAAAUAAUUAAUAAAGAUAUAAUACAAGUAAAAAUAUAUAAAUAAUAAUGUAAAAUAAUAAUAAUUUAAAAAUAUAUAAUAAAUAAUAAUAAUAUGAAAUAAUAUAUGGUUAAUACAAUAGUGUAAAGAUAUAUAAACAUUAUGUGAUAAAAAUAUACUAUAAUAAAUGAUAUAUGUUAAAAUAUAUAUUAAUAUGAUAAUAGGAAGAUAUUAAGUAAUAUAAUAAAAUAUAAUUAAAUAAUAUAAAAUAUAAUACAUAUAUUCAUAUUAAAAUAUAAUAGUAUAUGUAUAAAGUUUUAAAAUAAAUAAGUUAUAAAUAGAUUAAAAGGGAUAAAAGGGGUUAAAUUGAACGUAAAUAAAAAGUCAAAGGCUAAUUUAAAAAGAGAAUAAUUGAGAUCAGACCUAAUUGAAACGGCCAUUGAAACUCUAGGGACUCAUCAGGAAAUUUUCCCUUGUCCCUAAACGGCAUCGUUUUAAUCCAGGACUUUAAACAGUUACUGUAAUGACUAAAUUAAAACUGAAGCAAAAUAUUAGGGCUAAAUCAUAAAUAAAAUAAAACAAAAGUUUAAACACAAAAAGGUGGAAGGACCAAUUGGGUAAUUAACCCAAUCCUAAAAAAACACGCGGAUCCUCCCCGGGUAUUCGGGUCAACGCGCGGAUCCUGGGGCCUUAAAACGUCGUCAUUUUAAGCUUAUCAGACUAAGCUAAAACGAUGUCGUUUCUCUUGGGCUAUAUAAGCCAAAUUUCGACCAAAAAAGUCAUUUAGGAGCCUGGUUUAAAAAAAAUCAGAGAAAUCCUCUAUGGGAGGAUUUGGGGUCGGCCUUAGAGCCUCGUUGGGCCCUUGUUCUCAGUCGUUACGCACCCAUGCGCCUCCGCGCACGGUGAUCGGAGGGCUAAAAAACCCUCGUCUUUUCUGGGCGAAAAUACAGGUAACUCUUCCGUUUUAAUAUUUUAGUAGUCGAUUUGCUGAUGAUGCUAAAUAUUUCAUAAAAAAACAGUAGAACAUGAAGUAUAUAUAUCACCUUAAAACUGCUUGUAACCCUCUGAAUGAAUAUGUGUAAGUAUAUUUUCUAUUCUGUCAAAAUCCGGUCCCUUUACAUUGUUUUGAUUUGGGUUUUUAUAGCCACUGCUGUUAUUACAUAAACUAGGAAAGAAAUCUUUUUAUAUCUUUCCAUAUUUAUUUUGUUUGCUGCCGUGGUUCUUUCCUUCUUUCGCAGGUAUCAACGGAGAAUCUGGCACCGGAGUUGAUUCGGCCGUAAAUCACGGCGAGGCCAGAGUCACGGCGCUCGGUCGUGAGAGGGACAAGCUUCUGGACAACGCAUUAAUGGUGUGUCAAUGUGCAUUGAUGGCCUUGAUUUGGAGAGUUGAACAGAUGCUCCCCGAGGCUUCCAGAAGAUGCUGCGGCGCUGCAGUCUUCAAGAAACCCUAGGGUUUCUUGUUUCUCUAAAGUCACUUGGGCCACUUGGGCCUCUGGGUGUAAUGAGACUGCUGGGGCCAUUGUGUUUUGGUUAAGGGUAUAACGGGUAUUAAGGUAGUUUAGGCUAUUGGGUUGUAACCGGGUAUGAGACUUUUGCAUUUGGGCUUAUGAGGUCCUGAGGCCUAUUUAUUGUAAAUGGACUGUUUAAAUAAACAUUCAUUUAUUUUCUAUUCUUGGUUUUAUUUAUUUAACCAUGGGCCCAGGCAAAUUUGGGCUAUUACAAUAUUCAUUAUGCUCUAUGUUGUAUUUUGCAUGUAACAAUAAUGCAUGUAUAUUUAUGUUAUUUAUGAUCAUAUAUGCAUAAAAUGAUAAUGUAUAUUGUGUAAUUUAUGUCAUUAUUUAUCAUUUUUUUAUAUUAUAUUUGCAUGGAAUGAUAAAGUAGGUAUCAUGUAGGUUAAUUUAUUUAAUAUUGAUCCUUUGUAAUAAGUUGAAUGCAUCAUCACUUUAAAGAACUUUUAUAUCUCAUUCGAUCCAAAAGAAUAUAAAAAAUAAGGCAAUGUUUUUUGGUACUUAGGAAUUCGGGAAGUAGUACCCUAACAUGCUGGGUUACGAUUUCCCGUUUGUCUAAAUGCCUAAAAUAUCCUUCUAAAUAAGUUUUGAAAAUCACAAGAUGAUUUCAGUUACGAAAGUUUAAGAACAUCGUGUCCAAUCAUGCUGGAUGUGAUGUUUAUAUUCUUUUGAAGUGAAGGAUUCUUGAUUUUUAACUCAAAUUAUUACGGUUUUAAAAGAGAUCUUAUUUCUAAAUUCUUUUAAGCUUUUGAAGCGAAGGAUUCUUGAUUUUUAACUCAAAUUAUUACGGUUUGAAAAGAGAUCUUAUUUCUAAAUUCUUUUAAGCUUUUGACAUUAAGACAAAACUAUUCAAUUUGGUACCAAUUUUGGGCGUUGCGAGGGUGCUAACCCUUCCUCGUACGUAACCGAAUCCUGAGCCCGUUUUCUCAUAAUUUCGUAGACCAAAAUGUUUUAUAAGGUGAUCCAAUCACACUUUAAAAGGUUGGUGGCGGCUCCUGUUUUCAAAAUACCCUCCCCGUUUAAAAGAGGUUUUGACAACCCCCAUAUUUUAUUUGGCACAUUGUCCUUAAUGUGCUUAAAAAUAAAAUAAGGAACGAAAUUACCUAAUUUGGCGUGAUAGUCCAUGAACAAUGUUGGGUAGCCUUGUCCUCCCCGAUUUAACUCCAAAAAAUUUUGUAUCAUCCAAAAUAUAGGAUUCUUACACAGAAAAACACAUUUUUUUAAAGAAUCUUAACUCGAUGUCGCAACAUUAACUUCAAAGUUCCUAGCUAAUUGGUUCAAAAUCUAGUAUCGUGACAUUGAGAUUCAAUUUUGUGACAUUCUCCUUGUAUUUUAACUUUGAAGUUCCAUGUCAUGACGCCAGAGUUCAUCGUCGUGACUUUGAGUCUAGUUCUAUGCUUCUUCAAGUUUUUUUUUUGAGAUGUUCCACAAUAUCAACACUUACUUGUGGAAAACAACACAAACAAUCAAAAGGAACAAAACAAAAUUUUAAAAAUAAAAAAUAUAUAUUAAAUAAAUAAAUAAUAAAAUAAAAGGAAAAACUAGAGAAAAAAAUAAAAGUUCUUUUUAAAGACUAGGACGAUCUGCAUCACAACCAUAGAAGAAUUUUCAGCUGGUCCUCGACACUUUGAUCCUUCAUUUGUUUCAUUGUUGAUGUAUCUGAACCAAUAAUUUUGGUCGAUUCUGAUGAUAUUGCCUUAGUUUUUACCGGCGUGACAUCUACAUUACAAGCUAUUUAAUGCCAAAGUUGAGCCAACCGCAAAUGGUUUUUUGGGAUAUUAUUAGCUCGAGCUUUUUCACCUCAAUGUCACGUAAGGAUCUAUCAACCUAAGUUUUGUCAUCGUCAUCGAACGAGAAUGAUAUGAACUCGUCAACCUCUUCGGUUGGCGUUUCCUCUUCUAUGGCCAGAAGGUGUGUCGACUCAUUGACACCUUCACUUAGAAUCAGUUUAAGCUCCAAGUUAAUGGUUAAUGUUACAUCUACUUCUAAAUCUACUAUUACAUCUAUGCCAAAGUUAAUUAGAUCAAAGACUACUUCGGCGAUCUUCAAUUCUUUCUCGUACCCAAUUUCAAACUCUAGCCAACUUUUGUAGUCUACUUACGGAUGGUCGAUAGUGCUACUAUAGGUUUCAUAAUUACAGUUGGAGGCAUCAUGUACAACCUUUUCCAAUGGGAUUUCUACUUCUGCUUGCCUUCGGAGCAAUUUCUCUAACUAGUCCACCUAUUUUUGAAUUCUUUCUAGGUUAGUUUGGAAUGCAUCCGACUCAGGAUGGAAUGUGGAUAAAUAUUCUCCACACCUUCGAUCAUGACUCCGCUGAUUCAUUGAAACUCCAAUUCUUCUUCUUUACUAUGGUUUAGGCUAUUGGGUUGUAACCAUAAAAUCUUCUUCUUUACUAUUUAUCUAUGGUUUUAAAUAUUUUUUAAAAAUACCUCAUUUAAUUUUUAUUGUAUUUUAUUUUUUAUAUAUGUUUAUAAUUUUUUUAUUUAUUUUUGCGUCCUUUUGGAUUUAUUUAGUAUCGUUUUAAUAUGUUCUCAAAGAUUAUUUGUAUUUUUAUGUUAUUUACUAUUUAUGUAUAUUUGCAUGAAAAUUGACUAUUUAUGUUGUUAUUUUAAGUUAUAUUUAUAUGUAAUAUUAUUGUAUACAUAUUAUGCAAUUUAUAUUGUUAUAUAUUCAUUAUGCUCUAUGUUGUAUUUUGCAUGUAACAAUAAUGCAUGUAUAUUUAUGUUAUUUAUGAUCAUAUAUGCAUAAAAUGAUAAUGUAUAUUGUGUAAUUUAUGUCAUUAUUUAUCAUUUUUUAUAUUAUAUUUGCAUGGAAUGAUAAAGUAGGUAUCAUGUAGGUUAAUUUAUUUAAUAUUGAUCCUUUGUAAUAAGUUGAAUGCAUCAUCACUUUAAAGAACUUUUAUAUCUCAUUCGAUCCAAAAGAAUAUAAAAAAUAAGGCAAUGUUUUUUGGUACUUAGGAAUUCAGGAAGUAGUACCCUAACAUGCUGGGUUGCGAUUUCCCGUUUGUCUAAAUGCCUAAAAUAUCCUUCUAAAUAAGUUUUGAAAAUCACAAGAUGAUUUCAGUUACAAAAGUUUAAGAACAUCGUGUCCAAUCAUGCUGGAUGUGAUGUUUAUAUUCUUUUGAAGCGAAGGAAUCUUGAUUUUUAACUCAAAUUAUUAUGGUUUUAAAAGAGACCUUAUUUCUAAAUUCUUUUAAGCUUUUGAAAUUAAGACAAAACUAUUCAAUUUUGUACCAAUUUUGGACGUUGUGAGGGUGCUAACCCUUCCUCGUACGUAACCGACUCCCGAGCCCAUUUUCUCAUAAUUUCGUAGACCAAAAUGUUUUAUAAGGUGAUCCAAUCACACUUUAAAAGGUUGAUGGCGGCUCCUGUUUUCAAAAUACCCUCCCCGUUUAAAAGAGGUUUCGACAACUUGGCGACUCCACUGGGGAAUUUAUAAGAGAGUCAAGCUAAGAAAUUGAUUUUUUGUGUCUUAAUGUGAGAAGUUUGGAAAAAUUUUAAAAUAUCAAUCUUUUCACAUGUGUUUGCUACAUAUGUUUGUUAUUUUUUAUUUCGCACACAUUGCAUUUACAUGACCGCUGUGGUCGCACCCUUAAGUGGGAGUGAGAAGCUAUGCUUUCGUGAGGUUUUCACCUCCGUAUGGGCUAGUGGAUUACUUCCGGGAUACAUUUGUACCUAUGUCUUCGUGAGAUUUUCAUCUCCGUAUAGCCAUAGGGAAACGUGUUCCUCUGAACAGAACUUGGUCCAUAUGAGCCUAUAAUGGGUGAGGAUCGAGGAAUCUGCUGGUUCAGGUACCCUCGCUUUAGAACUGAAACACAUAUAGUGAACUUUAAGUGCUUACCCUAGAAAAUAUAGUGAUAGCCUUAGUAAGUUACCCUUAUAAGUACCUGUUUAUUAUACUCUUAUAUGAUACUGACUUAUUUUAUUUUGCUAUCAUUGCAUGUUACUCAACAUUUAAAGGUGUCGAUUCACGGUUCGAUUUCUAGAUUAGAAAGUUUUGUAAUGAGGGACGAAUAUCUCGAUAAAGUGGAGGACAACGCUUCUGUCUGUGCAUGGUCAGAGAAAACCCAGUUAGAAAAGGGAGAUAAUGUCACUGAGGGGUAUACGUCAGAGUUGUAGGACUUUACUCAUAUCACUUCAACACAGAAUAAGUUUCAGGAAUUGAAGGACAUUUGGGCCCAAUGGGAUGAUGAGGCUAAGCAGCUGCUCUACCAGGAUUAUGGAGAUCUUCCCUAUUUGCUAGACAUCAAGUUGGAUAAGUAUCUUGAUUUUUAACUCAAAUUAUUAUGGUUUUAAAAGAGAUCUUAUUUCUAAAUUUUUUUAAGCUUUUGAAAUUAAGACAAAACUAUUCAAUUUUGUACCAAUUUUGGACGUUGUGAGGGUGCUAACCCUUCCUCGUACGUAACCGACUCCCGAGCCCAUUUUCUCAUAAUUUCGUAGACCAAAAUGUUUUAUAAGGUGAUCCAAUCACACUUUAAAAGGUUGAUGGCGGCUCCUGUUUUCAAAAUACCCUCCCCGUUUAAAAGAGGUUUCGACAACUUGGCGACUCCACUGGGGAAUUUAUAAGAGAGUCAAGCUAAGAAAUUGAUUUUUUGUGUCUUAAUGUCAGAAGUUUGGAAAAUUUUUAAAAUAUCAAUCUUUUCACAUGUGUUUGCUACAUAUGUUUGUUAUUUUUUAUUUCGCACACAUUGCAUUUACAUGACCGCUGUGGUCGCACCCUUAAGUGGGAGUGAGAAGCUAUGCUUUCGUGAGGUUUUCACCUCCGUAUGGGCUAGUGGAUUACUUCCGGGAUACAUUUUUACCUAUGUCUUCGUGAGAUUUUCAUCUCCGUAUAGCCAUAGGGAAACAUGUUCCUCUGAACCGAACUUGGUCCAUAUGAGCCUAUAAUGGGUGAGGAUCGAGGAAUCUGCUGGUUCAGGUACCCUCGCUUUAGAACUGAAACACAUAUAGUGAACUUUAAGUGCUUACCCUAGAAAAUAUAGUGAUAGCCUUAGUAAGUUACCCUUAUAAGUACUUGUUUAUUAUACUCUUAUAUGAUACUGACUUAUUUUAUUUUGCUAUCAUUGCAUGUUACUCAACAUUUAAAGGUGUCGAUUCACGGUUCGAUUUCUAGAUUAGAAAGUUUUGUAAUGAGGGACGAAUAUCUCGAUAAAGUGGAGGACAACGCUUCUGUCUGUGCAUGGUCAGAGAAAACCCAGUUAGAAAAGGGAGAUAAUGUCACUGAGGGGUAUACGUCAGAGUUGUAGGACUUUACUCGUAUCACUUCAACACAGAAUAAGUUUCAGGAAUUGAAGGACAUUUGGGCCCAAUGGGAUGAUGAGGCUAAGCAGCUGCUCUACCAGGAUUAUGGAGAUCUUCCCUAUUUGCUAGACAUCAAGUUGGAUAAGUAUCUGUUUCGAGCUAUGGUAUAGUUUUGGAACCCUGCUUAUAGUUCUUUUACAUUUAGAGAGGUAGACUUAGUAUCUACUUUGGAGGAGUAUACGACCUUACUCUGCUGUCCAAAAAUCCAAGGUAACAAGGCAUAUGUUAGGGCUGCUAAUCUCCCUACUUUCGUGAAGAAAUUAAUGAUGAUCACAGGGAUGAGUGAACAGUGGGCCGCAGCUCGAGUCCAACAAAAGGGUGAUGGUAAAUGCAUUCGGUGGGCAAGUUUGAGGGAUUUGAUAUUGGCACACCCAGAUGUGAAGAAGAGGGUUGAUGUUUUGGCCUUAAGUAUUUAUGGUUUGGUGAUUUUCCCUAAAGCUAUUGGGCACAUAGAUGAGGCAGUUGCGGAUUUAUUCGAUCGACUCGGUAAACAGAACACACCUGUGCCUGCAAUCCUAGCUGAGACGUUUAGAUCCUUGAACGCAUGUCAGAGAGCUGGUGAAGGUAGAUUUAUUGGAUGUGCACAGUUGUUGCUAGUAUGCUUCCACAGUCACUUUUGGAAAGUUGAUAAGGUUCCCUGCCGAGUGUUCUUUGAGGAUUAUUCUCCAUUAAGUGAAGCAGCAGUUACACCGAGGAGGGACGACAUUACAGAGGAAAUGUGGAUGGAAAUACUUCAGAAUCUCCGAGAGGAAGAUGUAAUGUGGAAAGCCCCCUGGAUGGCUCCUAAUGAAAUCCUUUAUCGUUGCAGAAGUUUUGAUUGGGUACCUCUUCCUGGAAUUUGGGGAGUUGUUGGUUAUACACCAUUACUCGUACUAAGGCAAUACAAAGUGGGGCAGUUUAUACCGGCAACACAAGGUUUAGCUCAGAGUGAUUUCUCAUAUAAGGGGGAUCAGUAUAAGAAGAAGAUGCGAGAGAUUUUUGAGGCUUGGAUGAAAAUUUACUGUGUGAAGAUUCUGACUGAAGGACCAACGAUGACCCUUGGAUACAAAGAGUGGUUUAGUAAGAGGAUUAAUGAUAAUAUCCCUAGGCCAAGUUUGGGGGCUACUCGAUUGAUGGAGGAGAGUUUACGAGUGAUUCCAUCAGAGUUGAAGGUUAUAAAGCAAGAGUUUGAAAGGAAGAAUUUGGAGCUCGGGAGAAAGAUAGAGAAGAUUGAGGAGGAGAAGAUGUAUCUGAGCUUAGAGGUCGACGUUCAUAGAAUUGAGUCGAAAAAGAGAGGAAAGAAAAUAGGAAGAUUGAGGAAGACCGAGAUGACUUGAAGACGCAAUAUAAGAGGAUACAGUUGUCAAUGAAAAGAGCUAGAUUGGGGAAGUCUUCAGAACAGUGGCAAUAAGAGGUUCAAGAAAAAAGAGUCAAAGCCGAGUAUUGGGAGAAGAAGUUCCUAGAGAUACAAGCGCAUAAUCAGGCCUUAGAAAAGAAGAAUCAAGGAUUAAAAACUAAUGUGACUGAGCUUGGACGAUCUCUUCAUCAUCACCGAAGUCGUAACUCUGUGGUCGAGUUAAAGGCAAGCCUGGAUAAGAUCGAGGAAAUGAAGCAUAAUAUUGGAGGGUUGGAAGCAUCAUUGUAGAACUAUGAGCUACUAAUAGAGCAGCUCGAGGCAAGAGAAGAACAUUGGAAGGGAGAGCUUCACCUUUUUUAGGAUCAAGUCAGAGAUAGGGACUACCUCAUGGGAGAAGCUAUAGUACAGACUCGAGAGGUUGCGGAUCAUUUGCAAGACCUGGCAGCGCAAGGUAAUGUACUGAGUACAAAGUAUGAGUUAGUGUCAGAUAGAGGUCUAGAGUUAGCUUUGUUAUUGGAUAGGGUUAAAACACUGGGCCUGAGGGCGAAGGCGUAUUUGUAAUCCGUUUUGUGUAAAGAUUUUUGUUUCUUAAAUAAUGUUUUCUAAAGAAACUGAAUCAGAAUCGAUAUCUUUUUACAUUCAUGCAUUCACAUCUUAUCACAUCAUAUGCAUUCAAAUUUAUAGAAAGACCCUAAUUAGUUAAAAUUAUUAGGGAGAAAGAGAGAGUAAGAAAAAGAAAAUCUAGAAGCAACACAUCCUUACGGUAUACGCACUAAGACAAAGAAUAUGGAUCAAAGACUUGAGCAGAUCUAGAAAGAAAUGUAAGAGCAAUUACAGGAACAAUUGGUGAAAAUCCAACAGGAGAUGAAGGAUCAAAUGUUGGAGGCUCAAAGAAAUAUGAUGGCUGAGAUGGCUCAGCUGCUGUGGGGGGCAACGGAUAAAGGAAAGGCCCCUAUGACUACCACUGAAGAGGAUAAUGAGGAUCAUCCUCUUGGUUUUACUCCACCUCAUGUGCAGACUCAACCUGAGGCAUAUCCCUAAAGGCCGUCCGUUACUAUAAGGCCUCAAAAGGAGCAAGUCGAUACUGGAAUGCCCAUGAACUUUCAAACUGGUUCAGGAUUCAACCCUGGAGAUAACCCUGCCAAUCCAAUCAUCCCUGAUUUAGAUGUAGCUGAGAGGAAAGAGAUGAGACUCAAAUCAUCAAGGCAAUUAGAGGAACGUUGCAGAUGGUUACAAGAGAAAUUUAAGGCAUUAGAAAAUGCUAAUAAUCGUCAGGGAAUUGAUGCCAAGGACUUGAGUUUGGUCCCAAAUUUAGUGCUUCCUCAUAAGUUCAAGAUGCCGGAGUUUGAGAAGUACAAUGGGACUACUUGCCCUGAAGCCCAUAUCACCAUGUUCUGUAAGCGGAUGACUGGUUAUGUAAACAAUGAUCAAUUAUUGAUCUAUUGUUUUUAAAAUAGUUUGGUUGGGGCAGCGGCUAGGUGGUACAAUCAAUUGAGUCGUGCAAGGAUUGAUUCCUGGAGAGACUUAACACAAGCUUUUAUGCAGUAGUAUAACCAUGUGACUGAUAUGACUCCUGAUAGAAUCACUUUGCAGAACAUGGAAAAGAAGCCUAAUGAGAGCUUUAGGCAAUAUGCACAGAGAUGGAGGGAGGUUGCCAUGCAAGUUUAACCACCGCUUUUGGAGAAUGAGACUAUCAUGCUGUUCAUUAACACCUUGAAGGCCCCAUUCAUUACUUAUAUGAUUGGAAGUGCUACCAAAAGCUUCACUGAUGUAGUUAUGGCAGGAGAAAUGAUUGAAAACACCAUAAUGGGUGGCAAGAUAGAGGGGGAAACUGUUAAAAGAUCAGCCCAAGAAGGAAAGAUAAUGAGGUGAACAAUAUAAAUAGUUAUAAUUCGAAGGCAAUUACGGUUAGUCAACCCAGAGCAACUACAGUUGGGCAACAGGAUUCCCAAAAGCAUGGAUCUGGUUCGAGACAAAAUUCUAAAAAUGUCUUAUUUACGCCUAUCCCAGUGACGUAUCGAGAGCUUUAUCAAAGUUUAUUCAAUGCGCAUGCAAUAGCUCAUUUUCAUUUGAAACCAUUACAACCCCCGUAUCCUAAAUGGUAUGAUACAAACGCCAAAUGCGAAUACCAUGCGGGGAUAUCGGGACAUUCAAUCGAAAAUUGCACUGGUUUUAAAAAGAUAGUGGAAAGACUAAUCAAGAUGGAGGUCGUAAAAUUUGACGACACCCAUAGUACAGAUAACCCAUUGCCAAACCAUGGUGAUUAAAGGGUAAAUGCAAUUGGAAACACUAAUAUGAGAAGGAUCAAAGAGGACGUGGAGGAAGUAAGAAUGCUGAUAAAAGUAAUCUGGAAAGAAAUGGUGAAAAGAGAAAUGAUAAUCUCUGAAGAAGAAAAUAAAGGUGCAAGGGGCUACUGCGAGUUCCGUGAAGAAAAGGAACAUGAGAUCCAGGAAUGUGACGAGUUUAAGGCUUUGAUACAAAGCCUUAUGGAUAAUAAGGAGCUGGAAUUUUAUGAAGCUGGCUCAGAUGAGGGUCAUGUAUGCACAUUGGAAGAUGAACCCAACAAUCAAAUAAUCAACCGGCCAAGGAUCAUUAUUUCUCUACCAAUGAAUAAUGAAGUCGAAACAUAAACAGCACCGAAGGUUAUUACUCGCAAACUCGUUUUCUUUCCUUAUAAGGAUAACAAGAGGGUACCCUGGUAUUAUGACUGUAAUGUGACAAUGCCAGAGAAAGAGGCUAUAGCUAGUGCUUCUAAAGAGGCUCAAGAUAAGGGUUCUUACACACGUAGUGGGAAGCGUUAUAAUGUAGAAGGAGUCAGAGUUGAGCCUGCGAAAGCAAAAGCCUUUGACAAAGAAAAAGGGGUUGAAGUACUUGUUAAUGAGCCAGUAAAGGAAGAAGAAGCCAGAGAGUUUUUAAAAUUCUUAAAACACAGUGAGUACAGCGUGGUUGAACAAUUGCGCAAGCAACCAACUCACAAAUCAAUGUUGGCUUUGCUUCUGAGUUCAGAGGUACAUCGAGAAACAUUAAUGAAGGUGCUCAAUGAGACUUACGUUACUAAUGAUAUAUCCGUCAAUAAGUUAGAUCGAUUGGUUAGUAACAUAAGUGCUGACAAUUUUAUCUAUUUCAAUGAUGAUGAAAUCCCACUUGGUGGCAUAGGAUCAGCUAAAGCUUUACAUAUCACCACUCGCUAUAAGGGGUAUACAUUGCCGAGUGUGCUUAUUGAUAAUGGAUCAGCCUUAAAUGUCUUACCAUUGUCCACAUUGAAUAGAUUACCCAUAGACAGUUCUCACAUAAAAACAUGCCAUAAUGUAGUGAGAGCAUUCGAUGGCACGGAGAGAAAGGUCAUGGGAAGAAUUGAUAUUCCUUUGAUGAUUGGGCCAAAUACGUAUGAGGUGGACUUUUUAGUGAUGGACAUCAAGCCCUCUUACAAUUGCCUGUUGGAGAGGCCUUGGAUACAUUCGGCAGGAGUAGUGCCCUCAUCCUUGUACCAGAAAUUGAAGUUAGUAACGGACAGACGGCUAGUCACCAUAAAUGCAGAGGAAGACAUCAUAGCAGCAGUUACCAGCGACGCACCAUAUGUAGAGGCAAAUGAUAAGGCUAUUGAGUGCUCUUUUCGUUCCUUAGAAUUCGUCAAUGCAACAUUCAUUUCAGAGAGGAAGGAGGUGUCAGUACCCAGGAUAUUCAGAACCACAAGAAUGGGUUUACAGAUGACAAUGGGGAAAGGAGCUUUGCCAGGAAAAGGAUUGGGAAGAUAUCUUUAAGGAAGGAUUUAGAUUCCAGAAUUAAAGGAGAAGAGAGACCAUUUUGGCUUGGGUUUCAGGCCAGAUCACAAGCAAAGGAGGAAGGAAAUAGAGAAGCGUCAGGAAAGAAGAAAGACGCAUUUAAAUGGAAGAGAAGUAGAGUGGGAAUUGAUGACAUUCCCUCAUAUAUCCCAAACUUUUAUAUCAGGAGGGAUAAUUUACCCUAAGAAAGGGUUGCUCGAAAAAGAAAGUUAUCACAUCAAUGCUGUACAUAAUGAAGAGCCUGAAUGAAAAAACCUUGAGGGCAUUCGCCGUUAAGAACCGAGAAGCUCUUUAAACAAUUGGAUUGCAGAAGAAUUUCUUGUAGUUUUUAAAGACUUUUCAAAGUAAUUUUUAAAACACUCUUGUUGCUCUAAAGCCUGGGAGUAAUAAGGUUUCGUUUGUAAAAUAGGUUCAUGUUUGGAUAUUUGUAUUUCAAUAAAACAUCACUUUUGUUAUCAAUCCAAGUGAAUAUCCUUUUAUACCGAUCAAUAUUCUUUUGACCUUUUUAAAUUCUUUCAAAUUUUUCAUUUCAUACAUAACACAUAAAUGAACAUUCUUAAAAUUCAUUCAUUCUUUGUACAUUCUUUCGUACCCCGCAAGUCCCUAGAUAUCAAUGACAUGAGCACUGAUACUACAAAUCCUGAAUUCUCUUUUAAGUAAGACAUGUGUGUAGAAGAACCUCAGGAUUUUGAAGAUGACGGGAAUUGUGAUGUGUCUCCAAAUCUGUUGAGAAUGGUGAAACAAGAGGAGAAACAAAUCCUACCCCGUGAGAAAGAGGCAAUAGAGAAUGUAGUCUUGGAAGAAUGAAAAGAGGUAAAAAUAGGGACACAUAUUGCAAAGGAAACGAGACAAGGUCUUGUUGAGCUACUACGUGAAUUCAAAGAUAUAUUUGCAUGGUCAUACGAGGAUAUGCCGGGACUGAAUACUGAUAUCGUGGUACAUUGUCUCCCCAUAAGACAAGAUUGCAAGCCGGUCCAACAAAAAUUACGAAGGAUGAGGCCUGAUAUUGUGCUGAAAAUAAAAGAUGAAGUCAAAAAGCAGUUUAAUACUGGAUUCCUACAAGAGGUUAAGUAUUCAAAAUGUGUGGCUAACAUUGUGCUUGUCCCUAAGAAGGAUGGGAAGGUACGAAUGUGUGUUGAUUACAUAGAUCUGAACAAAGCUAGCCCAAAGGACAACUUUCUUUUACCGCACAUCGACACUUUGGUGGACAAUACAGCGGGAUAUUCAUUGUUUUCUUUUAUGGAUGGCUUCUCAGGGUACAAUCAGAUAAAGAUGCAUCCCAAGGACAUGGAUAAAACUACCUUUAUAACAUUAUGAGGCACCUUUUGUUACAAGGUAAUGCCCUUCGGGUUAAAGAAUGCAGGGGCAACAUACCAAAGGGCUAUGGUGAACUUAUUUCACGAUAUGAUGCACAAGGAGAUUGAAGUGUAUGUUGAUGACAUGAUUGCUAAAUCUCGAACAGAGACAGAGCAUAUUGAAGUCUUGAAGAAGUUGUUCAUAAGAUUAAGGAAGUUUCAGUUGAAGCUUAAUCCAGCAAAGUGCAUUUUCGGAGCUAGGUCGGGGAAAUUAUUGGGCUUUGUGGUCAGCGAAAAGGGAAUAGAAGUUGACUCAGACAAGGUUAGAGCCAUACGAGAAUUGCCUCCACCACAUACUCAAAAGGAAGUUUGGGGUUUUCUUGGAAGAUUGAAUUAUAUUGCUCGGUUUAUUUCACAAUUAACCGAUAAAUGUGAUCCUAUAUUUCGCCUCAUUAGAAAACACAACCAAGGUAUAUGGAAUGAGGAAUGCCAGAAUGCUUUUGAUAAGGUUAAGCAAUACUUGUUAAACGCUCCAGUAUCAUCUCUGCCCAGUCCAGAUAGACCAUUAAUUCUGUACUUAUCAGUGUUUAGUAAUUCUAUAGGGUGUGUGCUUGGUCAACAUGACGAGUCAAGAAGAAAGGAGAAGGUGAUAUAUUACCUUAGCAAGAAAUUCACAGAGUGUGAGAUGAGAUAUUCACAAAUUGAGAAGUUGUGUUGUGCUUUGAGCUGGACGACUCGAAGGUUGAGGCAAUAUAUGCUAUAUCAUACAACUUGGCUAAUUUCGAAACUUGAUCCAUUAAAGUACAUGAUGGAGUCAACAGCCCUAAAUGGAAGAAUGGCAAGGUGAAAAGUACUACUUUCAGAAUUUGAUAUAGUCUAUGUGAGUCAAAAGGCUAUAAAAUGGAGCGCGAUAGCAGAAUUUCUGGCUAGCAGAGCUCUAGAAGAUUAUGAGCCGUUAAGCUUUGAUUUUCCUAAUGAGGAGUUGAUGUAUGUGGCAACUAUUGAAGAACGUCCAUGGAAGCUAAACUUUGACGGCGCAUCCAAUGCGGUAGGAAAUGGAAUUGGGGCAGUCUUGGUAUCCCCAAAUGGUGAUCAUUAUCCAUUUACAUGUAAAUUAGAUUUUCACUGUACGAACAAUAUGGCUGAGUAUGAAGCAUGCAUCAUGGGGAUUCAAGCGGCCAAAGAGCGAAAAAUUAGAACCCUGGAAGUGUAUGGAGACUUUGCGUUGGUAAUAUACCAACUUAGGGAUGAAUGAGAGACAAGGGACCCCAAAUUGAUUAAUUAUCGAAGGGUAGUUUUGGAGUUACUUGAAGAGUUUGAUAACGUCACUUUCAGUUAUCUCCCACGAAACGAAAAUCAAAUGGCGGACGCUUUGGCAACAUUAGCUUCCAUGAUUAAAGCAAAUAAACAAGAGGAGGUGAGACCAAUUCAGAUGAGCGUUUCUGAGGUUCCAGCUCAUUGCUGUAAUAUCGAAGAAGAUGAAAAGGAUGACCAUCCUUGGUAUCAAGAUAUAUUACGGUAUGUGAGAAAUCGUGAAUAUCUUGAGCAGGCAACUGAGAAUGACAAAAGAACUUUGAGAAGGUUAGCCUGCGAAUAUGUACUAGAUGGAGACAUCCUUUAUAAAAGAAGGAAAGAUCAGGUACUCUUAAGAUGCGUCGAUGCUGUGGAAGCUAGACAAAUCCUGGAAGAAGUACAUGAAGGUGUUUGUGAGACACAUGCUAAUGGCUUUACGAUGGGCAAGGAAAAUCAUGAGGUUUGGAUAUUUUUGGUCUACUAUGGAAAGAGAUUGUAUCAGCUAUACUAAAAAAUGUCAUAAAUGCUAGAUAUAUAGGGACAAGAUUCAUGUACCACAUUCACCCUUAUAUGUUAUGACUUCUCCAUGGCCCUUUUCCGUGUGGGGCAUGGAUGUCAUAGGGCUAAUAUCACCAAAGCUUCGAAUGGGCAUCGUUUCAUUUUUGUGGUCAUUGACUACUUCACAAAAUGGGUAGAGGCAGCUUCAUAUGCUAGUGUUACCAAGUCGACUGUAAGUUGUUUCUUGAAAAAGGAGAUUAUUUGUCGGUAUGGAAUGCCUGAGAGGAUUAUAUCGGACAAUGCAUUGAACUUGAAUAACAGCAUGAUUGUGGAAGUUUGUAGCCAAUUUAAGAUCAAACAUCAUAAUUCAUCUCCAUAUCGCCCAAAAAUGAAUGGGGCAGUGGAAGCUGCCAUCAAGAAUAUUAAGAGCAUAGUAGGGAAAAUGACUGAGACCUACAAAGACUGCAUGAGAAAUUACCAUUUGCACUCAUUGCCUAUCGAACGUCAGUCAGAACCUCUACUGGGGCAACACCUUUCUCAUUGGUUUAUGGGAUGGAGGCAGUGUUGCCCAUUGAAGUAGAAAUACCUUCUCUUCGAAUUUUGUCAGAAAUAAAGCUGGAUGAAGCAGAAUGGAUUCAAUUGCAGUAUGACUAAUUGAACUUGAUUGAAGAAAAGAGGCUAAGGGCUAUUCGUCACGGUCAGAUAUAUCAGAAGAGAAUUCCACGAAGGGGACCUUGUAUUGAAAAAGAUUCUUCCCAUAAGAAGGACUUUAGAGGAAAAUGGAUGCCAAAUUGGGAAGGACCGUACGUUGUGAAGAAGGCUUUCUCUGGUGGUACACUGAUUUUGACAGAAAUGGAUGAGAAAAGUUUACCCAAUCCAGUGAAUUCAGACUCAGUCAAGAAUUACUUUGUCUAAAGAGAAAGGAAGUCAAGGUGAAAACCCACAAAGGGCGCUUUGAGAUUUCUGAAAACUUCUAAAAAAAAUAGAGAGGCCAAGGUGAAAACCCGUAAAGAGCGCCCUGAGACCAAAGGGGUUUUGAGUUGAAAACCCGAAAUGGCUGUUCAAAUUUUAAAAAGCAUGCAGUGACCUUGCUAUACUAGAUUUGACAAGAAAUGGAGUAUGUUACAUACUAGGGCAUCGACAAAAUACUUUGAAUCUUCUAAACAAAUGAUAAACUCAAAACAGUCUUCAUGGAAUUUGUAUAUAGAAGCCCAAGCUGUGAUAUGUUGGAUAUGUGAUUUUUGUUCUGUUUACUAUCUUUGGAUUCUUUUUCUUCUCAAAGAUAUGUUUUUAGAUUAAUUUCCUAUUGUAUUCUGAUGAUUUAUUUAACUAUUCUCAAGAUUAAAUUAUUUGUCUUCCAUUAUUCAUAAAGUGUGUUACAUUGAAAUAAUGAUUGAUGAACUAAAUAUUUUUACAAACGAAGUUUUGCAUAUUACUCUGAAAAUCUCUAGAGAAUACAAGAAACUAAAACAGAACAAUUGUUUGAAGAAUUCCCAUGAGUGAGGGUCAGAGGUAUUCAAGAAAAUUUCUUCAGUUCAAAGGAUAAUUGGACAAUUCAAACGAUUCAAUCUUAGGAGAGGAUCGUCUCCAGCAGGUCGUAACAUUCGGAGAAUGGUACAAUAGGACCAAUCUGAUUCAAAACACAUGAGCAAAGUAUGAUUGAUACUUUGAGUAAAAUAAAGGUGGAACUUUGAUGGAUGAACGAGUAAAGACGUCCGAAAUAGGAAUCAUUUUCAUAACAUUUUGCAUCAUAGUAUGUCUAUUUAGGAGCAUUUGACUCAUUUCGGUCAUGUCACCUUAAUCAUCGGGCAUGAGCACAUAUGCAUUCUACAGGUUACGCCCUUUAAGGGACAAUAUAGAUCACCGAUAGUAGAUUUGGCGUCUCUGUAUUGACAGAGAGCAGAUCGAAGAUAACAGAUUUGGCUUCUCUGUAUUGACAGAGAGCAGAUCGAAGAUAACAGAUUUGGCGUCUCUGUAUUGUCAGAGAGUAGAUCGAAGAUAACAGAUUUGGCGUCUCUGUAUUGUCAGAGAGCAGAUCGAAGAUAACAGAUUUGGCGUCUUUGUAUUGAUAGAGAGCAGAUCAAAGAUAGCAGAUUUGGCAUCUCUGUAUUGACAGAGAGUAGAUCGAAGAUAGCCAAUUUGGCGUCUCUGUAUUGACAGAGAGCAAAUCGAAGAUAGCCGAUUUGGCAUCUUUUUAUUGUCAGAGAGCAGAUCGAAGAUAGUAGAUUUGGCGUCUCUGUAUUGUCAGAGAGCAGAUCGAAGAUAGCAGAUUUAGCGUCUCUGUAUUGACAGAGAGCAGAUCGAAGAUAGCAGAUUUGGCGUCUUUGUAUUGACAAAGAGUAGAUUGAAGAUAGCAGAUCUAACAUUUGUAUGCUUACAUCGAAGCAGAUUGAAGAUGACAGAUUCAGCUUCUCCAUAUUAGGCAAGGAGAAGAUCAGAGAUUUCAGCUUGGCAUUCCUGAGUUUGCAGGGAGCAAGUUGAAUAUAGCAGAUUUGACAUUCCUGGGUUACGGUGAAGCAAGUUUGAAGCUAUCAGAAUACCUUUGAAGAAGAUGAGGAUCAAGAUUUCGAGACCUGGCCAGGCCGGGCAAAAUUGGUCCUUUUAUAGUCUUUGCUCUAUUCCUGUUACACAGUAAUGAGCAAAUAGGGGCAGCUGUAAUAACCCAAAUUUGCCCAGCCCAGAAAAUAAAAAAACAAAAAAUAAAAAGUCCUUUACAGUCCAUUUACAAAUCACGCCAGUAGCCCAUUACACUUAAAAGCCCUUUAACUUGAACUAAACCCAAAUUAAUGAGGCCAAGGAAGGCUCAAUGCCUAAACUGAAUCAGGAAACCCUAGGGUUUCCAGAAGCUUCGCGCCGCAAACUCCAAACGUCACGCCCCUUCGUCUCGCGCAAUUUCAGUGAACCCUCAUCGACGCCUCCAUCGGUGCCGUGACUACCGUAAUCUGCCCGCGAAUCAACACCCUAUCGUCACCGAAUUUCUCGCUGGUACCUGCAAAAAAGGAAAGAAGAACAACAGAGGCAAUACAAAUAUGGCAGGGAAUAAAAUCAAACAUGUUAAAUAUUAUUUUCAGUGGCUAUAAAAGCCCGAAUCAAAAUGAUGUAAAGCACGGUUUUUUUUAAAUGGAGAUAUACAAUAAAGAAUAAAACAGUUUAUCAAAGAAAACAGAGGUGAUUAGUUCUUUACCUUUUCUUCUUGUUGCAAACAUAUACAAAUUUUAUUAAAAUAAAAGGAAAGGGAGUUUACUAUUGGAUUUGCGCUAAAAACCAGAAGCUUUUCGGCUUUCGGCCGCCGUAUCUAGCGGAGUUGAAGACGGUACGUGGACGCGUGAGUCUGAUGACCGGGCUUGGCCCGACGGAGGCUGGAGCCCAGAGGAUUUCCUCUCUUUUCCUCUUUCAGAGGAUUUCUGUUCUUCUUUUUUUAAAACCAGGGGCUAAAAUGAUUUUUUAAGUUUUUUUUUUACAUUUAUAAGCUACCUAUAUGACGUCGUUUUGGGAUGACCGUUUAGUGACCAAACGGUGUCGUUUCAGGGCUGAGGAUCCGCGCGUUGACCCGUGACCUGGGGAGGAUCCGCGCGUUUUUGAUAAAUGGGAAAAUUACUGUUUGAGCCCUUCCGCAUUUUUCGUUUUUUAAAUGUCGUUUAAUUCUAAAUUUCUCUAUUUUUAAAUCUGGCCCUAAUAGUUUGUUUCUGUUUCAAUUUGGUUCCUGAACCCUUUAAAGUGUAAUUUUUAAAACGGCGUCGUUAUGGGAUUAGGGAUAAUUGCCCAGUGAGUCCCUCGUUUUUUGGCGCGCGCUUUAAUUGGAUCCAAAAUUCAUUUUAUUUUAAAAUUAACCCUAAAGUUUUUUUAUUUCAUUUUAAUCCUUUUGAUUUUUUUAUAAUUUAUUUAAUUUAAAUAUAAUAUACAAUAUUUAUUUUUACCAUAAACAUUAUCUAUAUAUGAAAAAUUAUUAUAUAUUUUUUUAUUUUUUAUUUGUGUAUUAUUUGUUAAAUCAUUUACAUUUCAUUAUAUAUUUUGAUUUAUACAUUUUAUUAUAUAUCAUUUUAUUAUAUAUUAUUGUUAUUUUAUUAUAUAUUAUAAUUAUUCAUUAUUUAUUAUUAUAUAAUUUUCAAAUUUGUAAAUUACUAUUAAAUAUUGCAUUUUUAUAUCAUUAUUAAAAUUUAGUAUGUAAUACACUAAAAUUUAUAAUAAAGUUUUAUUCCUAUUAUACAAUAUUAUUUUAUAAAACAUAUUAAAUUAUUACAUCAUAUAGUCUAUUUUUUAUUAAUCAUAUAUAAAAUCUUCUUCUUUACUAUUUAUCUAUGGUUUUAAAUAUUUUUUAAAAAUACCUCAUUUAAUUUUUAUUGUAUUUUAUUUUUUAUAUAUGUUUAUAAUUUUUUUAUUUAUUUUUGCGUCCUUUUGGAUUUAUUUAGUAUCGUUUUAAUAUGUUCUCAAAGAUUAUUUGUAUUUUUAUGUUAUUUACUAUUUAUGUAUAUUUGCAUGAAAAUUGACUAUUUAUGUUGUUAUUUUAAGUUAUAUUUAUAUGUAAUAUUAUUGUAUACAUAUUAUGCAAUUUAUAUUGUUAUAUAUUCAUUAUGCUCUAUGUUGUAUUUUGCAUGUAACAAUAAUGCAUGUAUAUUUAUGUUAUUUAUGAUCAUAUAUGCAUAAAAUGAUAAUGUAUAUUGUGUAAUUUAUGUCAUUAUUUAUCAUUUUUUAUAUUAUAUUUGCAUGGAAUGAUAAAGUAGGUAUCAUGUAGGUUAAUUUAUUUAAUAUUGAUCCUUUGUAAUAAGUUGAAUGCAUCAUCACUUUAAAGAACUUUUAUAUCUCAUUCGAUCCAAAAGAAUAUAAAAAAUAAGGCAAUGUUUUUUGGUACUUAGGAAUUCGGGAAGUAGUACCCUAACAUGCUGGGUUGCGAUUUCCCGUUUGUCUAAAUGCCUAAAAUAUCCUUCUAAAUAAGUUUUGAAAAUCACAAGAUGAUUUCAGUUACGAAAGUUUAAGAACAUCGUGUCCAAUCAUGCUGGAUGUGAUGUUUAUAUUCUUUUGAAGUGAAGGAUUCUUGAUUUUUAACUCAAAUUAUUACGGUUUUAAAAGAGAUCUUAUUUCUAAAUUCUUUUAAGCUUUUGAAGCGAAGGAUUCUUGAUUUUUAACUCAAAUUAUUACGGUUUGAAAAGAGAUCUUAUUUCUAAAUUCUUUUAAGCUUUUGACAUUAAGACAAAACUAUUCAAUUUGGUACCAAUUUUGGGCGUUGCGAGGGUGCUAACCCUUCCUCGUACGUAACCGAAUCCUGAGCCCGUUUUCUCAUAAUUUCGUAGACCAAAAUGUUUUAUAAGGUGAUCCAAUCACACUUUAAAAGGUUGGUGGCGGCUCCUGUUUUCAAAAUACCCUCCCCGUUUAAAAGAGGUUUUGACAACCCCCAUAUUUUAUUUGGCACAUUGUCCUUAAUGUGCUUAAAAAUAAAAUAAGGAACGAAAUUACCUAAUUUGGCGUGAUAGUCCAUGAACAAUGUUGGGUAGCCUUGUCCUCCCCGAUUUAACUCCAAAAAAUUUUGUAUCAUCCAAAAUAUAGGAUUCUUACACAGAAAAACACAUUUUUUUAAAGAAUCUUAACUCGAUGUCGCAACAUUAACUUCAAAGUUCCUAGCUAAUUGGUUCAAAAUCUAGUAUCGUGACAUUGAGAUUCAAUUUUGUGACAUUCUCCUUGUAUUUUAACUUUGAAGUUCCAUGUCAUGACGCCAGAGUUCAUCGUCGUGACUUUGAGUCUAGUUCUAUGCUUCUUCAAGUUUUUUUUUUGAGAUGUUCCACAAUAUCAACACCUACUUGUGGAAAACAACACAAACAAUCAAAAGGAACAAAACAAAAUUUUAAAAAUAAAAAAUAUAUAUUAAAUAAAUAAAUAAUAAAAUAAAAGGAAAAACUAGAGAAAAAAUAAAAGUUCUUUUUAAAGACUAGGACGAUCUGCAUCACAACCAUAGAAGAAUUUUCAGCUGGUCCUCGACACUUUGAUCCUUCAUUUGUUUCAUUGUUGAUGUAUCUGAACCAAUAAUUUUGGUCGAUUCUGAUGAUAUUGCCUUAGUUUUUACCGGCGUGACAUCUACAUUACGAGCUAUUUAAUGCCAAAGUUGAGCCAACCGCAAAUGGUUUUUUGGGAUAUUAUUAGCUCGAGCUUUUUCACCUCAAUGUCACGUAAGGAUCUAUCAACCUAAGUUUUGUCAUCGUCAUCGAACGAGAAUGAUAUGAACUCGUCAACCUCUUCGGUUGGCGUUUCCUCUUCUAUGGCCAGAAGGUGUGUCGACUCAUUGACACCUUCACUUAGAAUCAGUUUAAGCUCCAAGUUAAUGGUUAAUGUUACAUCUACUUCUAAAUCUACUAUUACAUCUAUGCCAAAGUUAAUUAGAUCAAAGACUACUUCGGCGAUCUUCAAUUCUUUCUCGUACCCAAUUUCAAACUCUAGCCAACUUUUGUAGUCUACUUACGGAUGGUCGAUAGUGCUACUAUAGGUUUCAUAAUUACAGUUGGAGGCAUCAUGUACAACCUUUUCCAAUGGGAUUUCUACUUCUGCUUGCCUUCGGAGCAAUUUCUCUAACUAGUCCACCUAUUUUUGAAUUCUUUCUAGGUUAGUUUGGAAUGCAUCCGACUCAGGAUGGAAUGUGGAUAAAUAUUCUCCACACCUUCGAUCAUGACUCCGCUGAUUCAUUGAAACUCCAUUUGUUCGACAUGAUUUUUUAUUGCUUCUAUGUUGUUCAUACAAAUAGCAGUAUACAUCGUCAUCCAAGAUUAAUUUGAAUUCUUUUUUGACUGAAUGUUUGGGCAUAUCAAAUUCUUCCUUAUAACUCCAUUGGUUCGUCAAAUCUUCGUUUGUCAAACUUGAUUCUUCAUUAAUGUUCCAAUCCAAUGGUUUUGUACAAUCUGGUUCAGGAUGAUUAAUCAUAAUACAAGGGUCUUCUAGUUGAAGUUAGGAACAUGAUGCACAACCUCAUCCAAUGGGGUUUGUUGUAGCUCCAUCGUAAGCAAUAUUUGGUUCUCCUCGAUAUCCUAUUCUUCAUAAAAUCAUUCCUUGUAUACUUCAUCAUCAUACAACGCAGACAUUUUGCAUUCUUCAGCCCAACUCUUAUUAUCAUCAAACUCAUAAUCAACCCAAUCCAUGAGUAAAUUAGUUAGUCAACAAGGUAGCUAAAAAUAAAAAUAACUAAAAAUAAUGAAAAAUAAAGUUAAUACACUAUCUAACUCAUUCGUCUUUCGAUUAAUAUUAUUUUACGAAGCAAUUAAUCUAAUAAUAAUUUUCACAGUCGCAAUCCUCGGCAACAACACCAACAACUUGAAUGCUACCAAAUGUGCGAAUGUUUGGACUGAAAAUACUGCAGCAAAAAGAUAAUAAAUAAAGCAACGGUGUCCACAAGUAUACUGGUCAAAUUGUAAUAUAGGUUGUUUACAACGAAACACGUGGAAAGUAUUCCAUGGAUUGUAACCAAGAGAUUGCAGAUUGGAGAAAUUUAUUAUUAGAUUAAUUACAGAAAAUAAGUACUAAUCUAAUCGAGUUCCGAAUUAGUAGUACAAAUCUAAAUUAAAGUAUUUAUUAAACUAAUUAAGUUAAUUAACCUAAACUAAGCUAAUGAAAUUUCCUAUUCCUAGUGUGGACAAUACAAGCUCUCGGCCUUUAAUCAAUUAAAUCCCUAAAUAACAACUAAGUCAUUAAUUACCCUCAACUGAGUUCUUUACCACCUUUAGCUACAAAUACCCUCUCGGUCUCAUCUUCACUAAGGAUUGCCACUUAAGUCACCCUCUGGUCUUUUCCUAGGCAUACGGAUAACUCUCGAUCUCAUCACUGGGCAUAAGUUACACUUAACAGACUACCCCCUUUUAGUCUCACCUUUCUUGAUAUUCUAUUAGGGAUGUCACUCUUUAAUAUAAUAAGUACUCUUGAAUGAACUCUCAAUUUUAGGUAAAUAAUUACUUAAUUAAUAAAUCAGAUUCAUAAGCGAAACAUACCAGAUAUAAAAUACGCACAACUUAUUCUAAUAUUCAUAUAAACAUCAAUUGAUCAGGCCAACGAAAAUAUAAAUAAAAGAAUAAGAAAAAUGGGAGAAAGCUAUUAAAUAAAUAUAGGUACAACUCCAGAGCAAUAUCCUCUCAUGAUCAUCUUCACAUCAGAACAGGAAAAUCUCGACUACACGAACAUAAAAUAAAACUACAAAGAAAACUAAAUAAACUAUUUAGUUCUAAAAUGUCUAACUUUCAACAACUGUCUAACGAAGUUAUAAGUGUUUAUAUACGCACAAAUUAGAGCAACCAUUAAUGUCAAUUAUUACUAAAAUACCCCUGAUACUAAUAAAUUUGUAUUUAGUAAACUGAAUAUUUAAAAUUUGUUCACGUGACCACUGUUGUGAGCAAUUUGUCACGAUGACGUCAAGACUCCGCGGCGCCAAAAUCCCACAUCGCAAUGUCAGCCCUAUUUUUAGCCUUUGAUGAUUCAAAGUUCGGUGUCAAGACGUGGUAUGUUGAUGCCGCGUCAUGACCUUUGUUCCUUGCAUACUUAAGCUUAAAUCGAUGUCCUACACACUCAAAUAACCCAUUAGUCAUACCCAAGGCCCAAAUUGGUCUUAUGGGUCGUUAAAAAACUGAAUAAUGGGUAAAAACACUUAUUUUACCGAAAUUAAACUUAAACUACUAAAAAUAGAAAACGAAAUAAACACAUAUAAAAGAGCUAGAAAAUAUGCUCAUUAAGUGCCAAAAUGACUUUAAUUUCCACAACGAAUUGUGGUAGAUUAAUGAUUCAGACUGUAGGAAAUGUAGAUGACUAGAAAAUCAUAUAUGAUGGAUGUUUCUACCUGGGCUUGAAUCUUGUAUCUUGGUAUAACAAGAAGCAAUCAUCCAUUUCAUUAUCAACAACAAAGGCAAAGUAUAUUGUAGUUGGUAGUUGUUUUUCACAACUACUUUAGAUGAAACAAAUGAUUGGCAAACUUUGGAAUUUGAAUUAUUUUAAAUUAUAUUUAAAAUAUAUUAAAUAAUCAAUUCAAAUAUUAUAAUAGAAAAAUAUUGAAUAUAAUUAAAUCAUUUUUAACAUAUUCAACAUACAAUAUAGUUUUACUUUAUUUAAUUAAUGAAAAGUAAUAUUAUUCAAAAAAAUAACUAAUUAAAAUAAUUAAAUUUAAUAUUAAUUAAGUAAUAAUUAAGAUACUUAGUAUUCUAUUCAUGUAAUACAUCAUUAAAUUUAGCAUAGCACAACUUUUGUCUAUGUAAAAAAAAAAUUUAAACUAAUAUUUGUGAAUUAUAAUUAUAAUUAUCAAAACUCUUUUUAACUAAUAAUUGUAACUUAAAUUUUAAUUGUUUUUAAAUUUAUAAAUAUCACAAUUUAUCUUUUAUUUCAACUUUUUAAAUUAAUAAUCCAAAAUAAAACAUGAUAAUUAUUUUUAAAUAUAAAUUUAAUAAUAUUAUCGAAAAUAAUAAGCAUUCUUGUGAGUUCAAUUUUUUUUUUCUUUCCAAACUCACACAUAUAUUAUAGAUAAACUACCCAUUUUCUACAAUAGUUAUCAAUUUACUAAUAUCUAACUUUAAAAAAAAAAUUAUUUUGAGAUAGCCAUCCAGUUAUCUUCACUUUAUGUGUCUUAUUUGAAUUAAUAUUUAGGAGAAUUUUUUUUCACAUGUGCAUACAUGUAAAAAUUUUGUAAUUUGAAAAUAUAUGUGUUCAAAAAUAACAUAUAAUAAAUAAUGAAACGUAAGUUUUGAAAUUAAUAAUAACAGCUCAUAUGCAAUAUGUAUGAAAUUAAAAUAAAAAAUAAUUUAAAUUGUAGGUAAAAGGAAAUUUAAAUAGGUAAAUACAUUAAAUCAAGAAUAUUAAAUGCACUAUAAUUAUUUAUCAUAGUGUUGUCAUUUCUCUUAAGAUGACUUGUGACACCAAUACAAUCAACGAUAUUAUCAAUAUAAAUAAUGUGAGUGAAAUAAUUUGCAUAAUAAUAUUAAAAUAUAUCAAAGUAUCAAAAGAAAGCUUUGAUAGAAGUGAUAAAGUAAAAAUUUUAUAAAUAUUGAUAGCAUGACUUCAAAUAUCAACAUAUGCAAAAUUUAUAUUGAUUUUAUUUAAAAUGUACAAAUACAAAAGAAUAAUUGUAAGAAUAUAACUUAUUUCAAAUAUAUUAAGUAAUUUAGUAAUUUCUUAAGUUGGUAACAAUUUGAUAUUUAAAUAAUAAUAUAUAUUAUUAAUUAAAUUGAGGUUACAAAUUAAUAAAACACAAAUUCAAUUUAAAAAUAAAACAAAAUAUUUUUUUUCUGAUUUUUGUCGGAAAAUAUCUUAUUUAUUUUAAUAAUUUAAACACCAUAGCUUUUCUGUGGUCCAAAAAACAGGAUAAGACUGGCGUUGAAGGUCCUAGUCCCACCCAUGCCCAUGCGGGCCAUACUGUGUGUCGAUAUCCGACCCCGUGAUGUAAUAUCACUAUUGAAAUUAUAAAAAGUUGUCGUAUUUAAAAGACGUUUCACAUGCAUCCACUGUUCAAGUUGUUUUAGUUCAUACAAACUAUAUGCAUAUUCAAUGUAUGAAUAUGUAUUCCUUUUGGCAGCUACAACAUUCAACUUAAACUACUAACGAACAAAAAUGACCCUGUGAUAGAUUCAAUGUCCAAUCAAUGUCUUACUAAAUUAGGAUAUAUUCUAAAUCCAUCUUCGUAAUUGUCAAGUAGAAUUCACAUGAUUUCAGAUCUCCUACAAAAAUGGGAAAUCCAUUUGACCAAAGUGAUUAAUCUUGAAAACUAUUAGAAAAACUACUGCAACAGAAAGUGAAAGUCGAACCAAUUAGCAUUGCCAUAAACAUAAUAGCUAGUCAGGACAAUGAUUUUUUUUCAACCCCCCAGCUUGAUGCGGUUGCGAAAAGGACUGUUUUAAUACUAAAGUUAUACAGAAUUUUAAAUCAUACUAUGACGGUGGGAGAGAUGUGAAGAGUCACUAAAAUAAGAGUGAUUUAUACUGUAAAUUAUGUGGAGAGUCAUAAAAAUAUAAAUUUGAGAAGGUUAAGGUUAAGUUUUGAUAAAGUAUAGACUAUGUAUGGUGUAUGGCUCUCUUACUCCAAAGCUGAGGAGAGAUAUUUAUAUAGGGAGGUCAGUUGAGCAUGAGUCCUAACCAUUAAAUUUUCUAUCUCAUAAGUGCAAUAGUGGAGUGAUGGAUGUUAGUCGAGGGUAUUGAGUUAACUUGAAAGGGCUAGACGAGACAUUCGUUAAGUCAAUGUAAUAGAUUUAAGAGUGUCAUUAGAAACUCUUUCUCUUGUAACUCUUAAGGAUCAUGUGGCGCUUUGUAUGAUAGAAUGUUUAGGCAAGGUUAUUGUAAAGGUGAGUAAAAUCUAAUUCAAUUCGUAAAAUUCGAUAAAAAAUAUAAUUUUUGAAUUAAAUAGUUCGAGUUAUGUGAGUUAAUCGAGUUAUUUGGAUCAACUCGAAUAAAAAUUAAUUUUUUUUGUUUAACUCGAAUAUGAAUUACACUUUGAAUUAUCAGAAAAUCCAAAUAAGAAAAGGCAAAACUACAUUUGUUUUGAUAAAUAUUUACCUUUUCUAAAGUUAAAAGUCAAAACAUUUAAGGUAAAAGGUAAAAUUACGUCAUUUUAAUAAAUGUUUACCCAUUAAGUUAAAAGAUAAAACCAUUAUAUUGUUUAUAUAGUUAAAUAAUCUUGUACUUCGGCUACUAGUUAAACAAUUGGUCUAUGUAAAUACAACAUUAAGUAUUAAUAAUAGGAUUCGUCUACUCGACUCGACUUGUGCCGAAAAUUUUUUCCUCAAUUCAAUUUGAUUCGAAAAAAUUUUCAAAUUGAGUUUGGUUGCUAAAAUAGGAUUCUUUAACUCAAUUAACUUGAAAUUUUUUAACUCGAUUCCAAUUAACUCGAUCGAAUACUCACCCCAAGCUACUGCCCUCUUGGAGAGGCCACAUAUUCUUAUAGUUGUUGAAUGAUCCAGUGAGUCGGUCUAGGCAAGGGUAUAACAACUACCCCUUAGUUGAAAGACAGGUUACAAAGUGACCUGGCCUGAGCUAAUUCAUUAGCAAACCUUACUCGAACCUUGGUGAGGCUUGUAGAGGGUUUUGAAGUGUCAUCGUUAUUGUCUGAUUAUUGCACCUGUGUAUUGAUUACUCUUAGAUGCAUGUUUGUAUUUAAUUGAAAGAUUUUUUUAAACACAUUUCUCUUUAUUUUAUUGAGCCAAUAUUUAGAGAAAAAUAAUUUUGAAAUCAAGUUAAAAUUCGAUCUGACCUGCCUCAUGGAUAAAUUUAUAUCUAACUCUAUUUUACAAUAUUUUUAAUUUUGCCUCACCUGAAAAUGCUAAAUGGAACAUUCGCGAGCAUGUUAUAGAUUAAGGGACUCAUAUAUUCUCAUAUUCCUAUAAAUGUUGAAUAAUCGGAGGGGAUUUAAAAGAGAGGGUUAUAACAAAGACUAAUAUGGAUGUGGCUUGCUGACUCAAGUAGGGAAAAUGUGGCCAACAUGGUGUGGGAACCCGGCGGGUGAAGCGUCUUCGGCUCCACUUAGACCCCACACUCAUGCUUUGAAGGUUAAAUGUUGCGAUCUUUCAAUUCCAAUACAUUGAUAACAAUUUGCCUUUUUUUCUGAGGCCAGCGUUGAAGUUUCUCCCACUUGAUUUGCCAUUUGACAAGGAAAACUGGGCCAAUUGGAAUUCCCUGUUUAUCACAUAUAUUAAAUUAUUGGUCAUUCUAAAACUGUGACUGCUGCAGAUAUUUUUUUCUUCAUCUUUUUUAUAAACUGACCGUAAAAAUUUAAUUAAUUAUUUAAAUAAUCUAUUUUUUUAUAAAAUAUAAAAAUAACCUAAAAUCUAUCGUAAAAAUUGGUGAAAGUUAAAGUGUUUGGCACUACUAACAUAUCAAAUUAACAAUCAAGAUAAAAAAAUUAAUUUUUUAGCAAAACCAUUUAAAAUGACACCACCGACAUAAAUAUUAAGAAAAUGCUGCAAUUUUUGAAAAAAUAAAAAGGCUUUCAGCCAAGUUAUUUUUUUUAGUGAAGCCAAAUAAUUUGGCAUCACAUUCCAACACCCUAUCGUGCUUUUCCUUAUUUUUUUAUUUGUUUGUUUACAUUUAUUUUAUAAUAUUAUAAUAUAUAUUUUAAAUUUUUUAUAAUAUUAUUUCUUAAACUUUAAAUAUAUUUUUUAAAAUUUUAAAUAUGUACUUUUUAAUAUUAUAAAAAAUUUAAAACAUAUUAUUUUUAAAGAUAUGACAUUUUAAAUUUAUUAUUUGUUUUAUAAUAUUUUUAAUGUAUAUUUUAAAAUUUUUAAAAAUUAUUUUUAAAUAUAUUCAAACGUUUUUAAAAAUAAUAUUUAAAAUUUUAAAACAUAAUAUUUUAUUUAGUGGAAAAAAAACGAAUAGGCUAGAAAAAAGUAGAAAAAGAAAAAAAUGAAAAACAAAUAAAAAAUAGGAAAAGCAAAUUAGGCAGCAGAAUAGGGCUUUAGAAUCUAUUUAGCUCUACUAAAAAGGUAAAUUUACUUAAAGCCCUCCAUUUUUUUUCAAAAACCGUAGUAUUUCCCUAAUAUUUAUACAAGUGGCGCCAUUCUACAUGGCUCCACAAAAAAAUUAAUUUUUUUAUCCUGAUUGCUGACGUGACAUGUUGGUAGCACCAAAUAUUUGACUUCACCAAUUUUUAUUAUAAAUUUUAGAUUAUUUUCGAAUUUUAUCAAAAGAAUAAGUCAUUUAAAUAAUUAAUUAAUGUUUUAGGUUAGUUAAAAAAAAACCUAUUUUUAUGAUAACAACAAAAAAUAUAUAUAUUCAACAGUAGUAACUUAGAAUGGGAAUAUUCCAUAUGAAUGGUUUAAUAUCGGAAUUCGUUUUAUCAGUUUCACUAUUUGAAUUUUUAUAUGUUGUUUUAAAAAUUUUCAACAUAGUAAAUUCAGAUAUUUAACAUAAUAGAAUAUUGAUUUAAGGCUUUAAAAAGUGUUUAAUUUUUUUUAAAAAGUCAUUAAGUCUAUUUUUUUUUGUUUUUUAUUUUUUUGCACACAAUGUAUAUUUGAUCUUUCAAAAUGCAUAAAAAAUACCUUCAAACUUUUUUAAGAAAAGCAAUUAAGCUCCUAAAUUUUUUCACCCAAUUGGGUACUUGAACUGUUAAAUGCUUCAAAAAUACCAUUUAACCAUUAACUUUAACAGUUGAUCGUUAAAUUUAAUUACCCCUGAUCUUUUUUAGUCAAAGCCACUUGUGUAACAACCAUGGCGUGGCAUGUGACAAAAAAAUUAUAAAAAAUAAAAAUCAAAAAAAUUUAUAAAAUAUUUAAUUUUAAUAAAAAUAUUUAGAAUUUAUUAAAAAUUAGGAUUGUUUUAUAAAUACCAUAAAAAUUAUAAAAUGCAUAAAAAAACCUUUAACUAUUAACUUUAACCGUUAAAGAUAACAGCUUCUUGUUUUUUUUAAUUAAAGUUAUCAUAUAUCGCAACACGGCAUGACAUGCUUUUUUAGUACAGUAAUUUUUAUAAGUCUUUUUCCAAUUUUAUAUUUCUUUAUUUUUUUAUAAUUUUGUUAUGACUUUAUAAAAUUUUAUAAUUUUUUUUCUAUAUUUCUAUAUAUUUUACAAUUUUUACAACUUUUAUAAAAUUUUAAAAUUCUUUAUAAAUUCUUUUAAGAUUUUAUAAUUAUUCUAAUUAUUCUAAUUUUUAAAUAUUUUAAUUAAAAUUUAAUAUUUUUAUAAACUUUCAUUGAUUUUUAUUUUUUAUCAUUUUUUGUUACAUGUCCUAUUGAGGUUGUGACAUGUGGUGACUUUAUCUAAAAAAAUUAGGAGUAGUUAAAAUACCCAAUUGAGUGAAAAAAGGACUUAAUUAUUUUUUUAAAAAAGUUUGAAGGUUUUUUAUGUAUUUUAAAAAUUUAAGUACCUAAUUGAAUGUAAAAUAAAAAAAAGUAGGGACUUAUUUAUUUUUUUAAAAAGUUUAAAUUUUUUAUAUAUUUUAAAAGUUUAAAUAUUCAAAUACAAGUGUAAAAGAAAAAAAAAACAAAGCUUAAUGAUUUAGUUUUUUGAAAAAGUAUACAAGGAAAUUUGAUAAAUUUAAAAAAUCCAACCGCAGCCGACAGAAUUUUGUCAUGUUUGUUUUAAAAUAUCUAGCUAAAAGACAAAGGGCCAUAUCGUAUCAAUUUUAUUGUUUUCAACUGUAACCCGAUUUGUGUUACCUCGUGAACACAACUUGUCCCUAAUUAUUCCAAUGAGGCUUGGCCCUUAAAGCCUAGUUAGGACCAAUUACAUCACGUAUGCGAGAAUUACGCACAUGCACAUGCGGUAACAUUUUCCCUAUAAAUUGCUGGCCUUUGCCUCCACCAUUUUCAUCAUUCCAGUUGCUCUCAUUUUUCUUUGGAAACAAAAAACAAAAAAUAGAAAAAAUAAAGAGCAAGAGAUAUGGCAAGCACAUUCUCUUAUAAUUCUUUUGGAUUCCUUCUCAUUCUUGUCGCCUCUAGUUCCUUGAUAAAUAUAAGUUCAGCUGGUAGGCAAAUUGCCCCUAAAACUAGCAUUGAGUUUAUCAGAACAUCUUGUAGUUCAACGACUUACCCUAAACUUUGUUACGAAUCUCUCUUAACACAGGCUAGCAUGAUCCAAACAAGCCCCCAACUCAUCGCCCAUGCAGCCCUAAACGUGACCCUUUCAACCGCCAAGUCAACCUCGGCCAUGAUGGUGAAGCUUGCCAAAAGCCAAGGAUUGAAGCCUACAGAGGUGGGCGCCAUGCAAGAUUGCGUGGAGGAAUUGGAGGACACGAUAGAUGAGCUGAGAAAGUCAAUCAGCGAGAUGGGUCAGAUUAAAGGCUCCAAUUUUGGACUAAUGAUUAACGAUAUACAGACAUGGGUUAGCGCUGCUUUGACGGAUGAGAACACCUGCGCCGACGGGUUUGGAGGGAAAAACAUGAACGGCAGUAUAAAGACUGCUGUGAGAUCCAAGAUUGUCACAAUCGCUCAUUUGACAAGUAAUGCCUUGGCUUUGGUCAACAGCUAUGCUUCAUUUCAUGGUUAGCUAUUUAAUCAACUGUACAGGGGAAAUUUAGUCAUUAUUUACGGUAGCAAUUGUAUUUAUGGAUUUUUAGAAACUACUUCUGUUUUCCUGGUAAAUGUAAAAUAUAUAUGUGGUCCAAAGAAGGGAAUGGAGAUGUGUGUGUGUGUGUGUGU